UCCUUCUUUUUCUUCUUCUCUUCACCGUGGGCGGCGCCCUCGCCGCCGCCGACACCGGGGAUCUUCUGCUUGAUCUUGUCCACCAAGCCCUCCUUGUGUUCGCCCUCCUUGUGUUCCCCGCCGUGAUGCUGCUGCUGAUGGUGAACAUCAGUAGUGCCGACACCGGGGAUCUGCUGCUUGAUCUUGUCCACCAAGCCCUCCUUGUGUUCGCCGCCGUGAUACUGCUGCUGAUGGUGGACAUCAGUAGUGUGGUGGUCCCCACUAUGGUGCUCUCCCUUGUGCUUGUCCUCCUCCUUUUGCCCUCCUCCCAUGUGAAGGGCUUCUCCGAUCUUGUGAAUAACUCCUGACAUUUUCCCUUAAAAUGACUCUGUUCCUCUUCUUUUCUUUUCAAUGAAAAAUAGUUGUUUGCGAUCUUCUUCUGGUUGUUGUUGUUCUUGUUGGGUGAUCUUGGCUUGGUAUUUAUAGGCUCCAAAAGGAGGGACUAGAAUUAGGAUUAGAUUAUAGAUUAUUUUAAUACAUUUUAUGGCAAAUUCUGAUUUGGAAAGAUAAGAUUAUCCUUUUGGUUUUCCUUAUUUACCCUUUUGCACCCAUUACGUGUACGCGUCUUCGUGGGCUUUUUGGGUAUUUCAAUUAUAUCGCCAAUGCUAAAUCGACACGUUGCAUAUCAGCCGCGGUACUGCCGUAUGUAGUUGUCCAGAAAUCGAGUCGAUUCUCGAUCGUACAAUAAUUAAAUAAUAUUUCAUACGAAAUGAGUUUAGAUAUAUUUUGAAAAUUUAUUUUUAAUUUAAUUAUACGUGUUAUAUAUUUGUUAAUCGAAUAGAGGUCCCACGUAACAGAGUGUUUCUCUAAUCUUUCAUUGCUUUUAAUUAAUUUUACCCAAAUAAAAAAAAAAAGGAAAAUUUAGAGAGAGAGAGAGAGAUAGCGAAUUAGAAGUUGAUUGUAAUAUCGACACCUGUCAGACAAUCAAAUAUCGUUAGUUAAAAAUCAGUUGUCCAUAGUCAUGGUCAUAGAUGGCGAAAUUGAUACUUAUUUUAAAAAACAAAACAAAACAAAACGAAACGAAACUAAACUAACAGAUGUUGAAAUGCAGUUCCGUGUUAACAGUCUGUGAUGAAUCUUUAUCUUUGAGUAUACCAUUCAAGAAAUUAUCAUUCAAAAAUUUAUUUAAAGCAGCAGCAAAUCACCUUCUAAUUCCUGAAUCAAAUUAAUUCGAUUUUUUUCGAGUCGAUCAAUUCAUUAGAGAAUUAACGGGCUAAGUUAAAGUUUUGUUAGUUAUUUUUUUUUAUAUUCCUUUAGAUGAUAUGAUUGUCAUUGUCUUUCUUUCUCUGGGCAACAAUAAAUACAAGAUGUGCAAAAGCGUAGUGGAACAUAAUUCGAUUAUGGGUAAAGGGAUCAGUCCGCAUAAUGAGGAUAAAGUUUUUCUCUUUAAAAAAAUUUAACCCAAAGAAAAGGUCGUAGUUUGUAAUAGCCGACACGCAGAUAGAUCACAAAGCAUGGCGGUCCUGAUGGCAAUAACUAACUGAUAUCUUCUGCGAUGAGAGGAGAUCACGUGGUUCUGACACGUAUCGCCCCAUCAACUGAUGUUGUGGCUGCAAUCGCGGCCCAGUCUUUAGAGAGAAGAAAGAUCUGUUAUAACGGGACCUACUUUAGCAUCUAUUUACGACAAAGCCCCUAUUUACUCUACUUAGUAGUAAUAAUAGCAAGUGUCGGGCUUGGAUUCCGUGUUGCUUUAAAUAAAUAUCCGCGUAAAAAGAAAAUGCUUCUUUAAUCCCUUCCUUGUAAUUUUUCGACACGUGGAUGGUUGAAAUUAGCGUGCCGACAUCUUAGGAAUUUUAUCUUGGAGACGGGAACACUGCAGUAGGCAAUGCCAUUUUCUUCGGAUGGUGUGUGGUGACAACGCCUUGGAUUUUGACGUGCAAAGAAUUUAAAUUGAAAAAGAAAAAAAGAAAUUACCAGAAUAAGCAUAGAAGAGAUAUUUUUCUUUUUGUCCUUUUUGGAAUGGAAAAAGAGAUCAAGAGAUUGUUCCAGUAAGUAUUACACAUGUCACAGGCUUAUUCAUGCCCCAUUAUGGCAACUUUUAUGCCUCGCGGUGCCCUCGGUUCCAGCAUAAUAGCUAAGACUUCAAUUUUUCUAACAUAUUUUUGUUACAAAUAUGAACGGAGUAAAUGUAUAACUUUAAUCCUUUGAAUAAAGAAAUGGCGGUUCUCCUGCUCGUUAAUCUCACUUGAAUCCCACCCAGGCAAAAUUUCUUUAUUUUAUUUAACAACAAUUUAAAGAAAGAAACUUUUGCCAGGUUGAAUUUCAAGUGAGAUUCAUUCGUGGGAGAAGUGCCAUUUCUUUAUUCAAAAGAUUAUGGUAAUUACAACUUUCAAUUUCGACAUAAAUUAAAAUUAUAGGCUAUACAAUAAAAUUGCCCUAAAUUAGUCCUAAUCAAUUCAGAUUAUAAAUUUAGGUAUAUUUAUUAUUUUAAUAUAUUAAUGUUCUAUAUAUAUAUAUAUAUAUAUAUAUAUAUGUGUGUGUGUGUGUGUAUNNNNNNNNNNNNNNNNNNNNNNNNNNNNNNNNNNNNNNNNNNNNNNNNNNNNNNNNNNNNNNNNNNNNNNNNNNNNNNNNNNNNNNNNNNNNNNNNNNNNNNNNNNNNACAGCAGAAAAUAUUUGCUAUGGAUAAGGAGACAUGGUCCCACGUCCCACCGUCCCAAUGCAUAUUUUGUAUGUUUCCAUCUUUUCUGAAAUUUUAAUAAAUAAAGUUUUUUGACCACUUGGCCAAAGAACCUUACCCUUACACAACUUUGUGGUUGGAGUCCUGUGAUACAUGUAAGAACUUAUUUUUUUUCUUAAUUAUAAUAUUUUAGAAUAUAAUUAAGUGAAGUAGGUUUUUUUUUUAAAUAUGAGUAAAAUAGAUAUUUUUUAAAUAUUAAAGAGAGUAAAAUUUGAAUAAUAAUAUAUUAAAAUUAAUACAAACUAAUUUUAAUAAUUAUUUAAUUAUAAAUAUCAAUUAUAACAUCAUAUAAUAUCAAUUAUAAUAUCGUACAUCUCAAUUAAUUCAAUAAUAAUAAUAAUAAAUGUUUUUUGGGAUAAGUAAACAGUCGCAUGGCGACAAUAGUGGAUCUGGAUUAGAGUGAAGUGGUCCCAAGAGGCUGAGGCUGUGGCUGUGGAGUUCUAAAAGUCAAAAGCUCCACGCACUUUGUUUCAGUACCAUACACACUGAAAAAAUUUGCAUUUGCAAUGACGAAAACUUUUCACGAAAUCAAAACACCUCUAAACUAUUUUGUUAUCGAUAUUUAAUGGAGGGGUUUCCUACCUUUUUAACACUCGAUUCACGCCUUGACGCAUCUCACAGAAAACCUCAUGAUCCCAUUAAUCUUGCGUAACAUAUCUCAAAGCCAAUGCAAGUGAUCUUGUUGCCUACUUCCCUUUGACGAUUCAAAAUUGUUGAAAAUAAUUCUUUUUUUUUUUAACCUCAAGGAAGUGACAAAAUAUAAAAGAAUAUUUUCUACACAUUAAACAUCUAGAUUUUUUUUUCUUUUCUUUUUAGAGUACUUGCACAAACCGUUUCCAAGAGAGACCUUUUUUUUUUUUUUUUUUUUCCGGGCUUGGUUACUAAUUUGGUGUGAAUACUCUAUGGUGAAAAAGGAAUCACAAAGCUGUAAUCAAUUUUUUUGCAUCAUUUAGUUGUAACUUGAACAUUGGGAGGUUUAUAAAGAAUUAAAUUAAUUAUAAUGCCUCUACUAGGAAAAGUUCAGAGUAGCCCUUCACAACUUUUUAAAGGCUUAAUAAUUUUCGCUUUCUUCCUCUCAUAACAUAACAAAAAAUUAAGAGCUUUACUCGUACACGUCCUAUGGCUAUAUAGUAUUGGGUUCUCUACUUCAAUCGGCUAUCUCAAACCGAAGGUUAUUUGGACACACCAGCAGUCACGUUUGGAAACUCUCAAAUGCUUGGAUUGUAAUUCUUGUGGAUGAGAUCAUCUAAAUCUUGGGCCCAAGCCGGACAAUGGGUGGACAAAGAACCCUAAAAUACAGUAAAGCUUCUAACACCCCACUAAAACUCUUAAGAAAUCCUACCUUUUAUUUUUAUAUCUCUUUCUUUUAGAAAUUAUAGAGAAGACAUAGCAUUUUAAUUAUUUUCCCUGCCAUUGAAAAUAAAUUCUGUAAACAUAUUUUUUCAUAAUAAAAUUAUUGUUAUUAGAUAAUUUAUUUCUUCAUUGUUUCAAAAUUAUUAUAAUUUUAUCAACAAAAUUAGUUAUGUCAUAUAUUAGGAUUAAAAUUAAUUAGGAUCCAUAACUUGUAAAGACAUUUUAGUUUAAUUGAAUUCAUAUUUGUCAUUUUAUGUAAUUUUCAAUAAAAAUACGACUAUGAGUGCAAAAGUGGGAUGACAUAAUAUUAAAAGAGUGUGAAAUAAUCGGUAAUUGAAAUGGAUUGAAAUCAUAAUAGAGUAUGAAAAUCAGAAUAAAUUGUUUACUUUAGUUGUAGAAAUCAAAAUUAAAAUAAACCAUAUUAUCAUUGAUGUAUAUAUGUUUUCUUGUAAUCGAAAUGAAUUCUUAUAAGUUACUAUAAGACCCUUAUGGUGUGUUUACUAAUCAGAAAUCAGAAUGGAGUGGAAUUUGAAUAUAGAAUGGUAGGGGUAUUCGCGGAUCGGAUUUUACGGAUUGGACAUUAAUUCAUAUCCGAUCCAUAAUUUUACGGAUUAUAAAUUCUCAACACAAUCCAAAUCCAAUCUAUAUGUUUGCAGAUCGGAUGCGGAUUUGACUCAAUUCAUAUCCAAUCCACUAUUUGACGGAUUGAUUUUGGAAUUAAAAAUUUUUAAUUUUGUCCAAUCUAUGAGGUAAUUAAAUUUAAAAAUCUAAUAUAAAAAUAAUUUAUUAAAUAAAAAAUUAACGUAAAAAUAAUUUUACUACCAAUUAAAUUCAAAAUUGAACAAGAUUUAAAUAAAUUAAUUAUUUAAAUAAAACUAGAAUAAUUUAUUUAAAAUUUUUAAAUAUAACAUAUCGAAAAAAAAUUCAUUUGUUUAGAUUAAUAUAUGAAAAUUAACUAAAAUUAUGAAUUUAAAUGUUGAAAUUUGAGAGCUUGGAUGUAACAGGAAGAAAUUAAGAAACUUGAAGAACUUGAAAAGAAAGUAACAAAUUAAGCUUAACUACCUCUAAUGGUGAAGUGAAACAGUGAUGGUUUGUGCGUGCAAUGGGGUACAAAUUUGGCAUUAUAUGCCAAAAUAUUUUGUUUGGCUUUAGAAUUUUUAAUGUUUAGGAAGCUAUAUUUGUUUAUUUAAUUACUCAAAUAUUUAAUUAUUUUUUAUUUUAUGUUAUUAUUGAAUAAGAUAUAAUAUUGUGUUAAUUUAGCUAUACUUUAAUUAAUUAAUUAAUUUAUUAGUAAGUAGCAUUGCUACAUUUAUAAGUUUUAUUUUUUAUUAAAUAAAUACUUUUUUUUUUCAGAUUCACGAAUUUUUACGGAUUUACAGAAAUAAAUCCAUAUCUAAUCCAUCGACUGUGGUUUUUUAAAUUUUCAUUCCAAUCCGAUCUACCAAUCCACAAAUUAUAUUUUUACGGAUCGGACGAAUUGAGCGGAUCAAAUUGGGUUCUGAACACCCCUAGAGAAUGAGAAUCAAAAUAAAUUAUUUACUUUAGUUGUGUGAAUCGGAAUUGGAAUAAAUUGUACUGUCAUUGAUGUGUUUACUUUAUCUUGGAAUCAGAAUGAAUAAUUUCAAAUUACUAAACUGACCUUAAUUUUUUAUUGUAAUAAUAAUAGUAGUAGUAGUAGUAAUAGUAGUAAUUUUCUAUUAUUAUUAUUAUUUUCUCUCUCUUUUGUUUUUAUUUUUUUAUUUUUCUCUUCUUCUUCUCUUCCUCUUUUUUUAUUUUUCUCUAAUUCAUCGAUACUUCUUCUUCUUCUUUUUUCUUUCGUUUUUAUUUUUAAUUUUUCCCUUCUUUAUCGUUCCUUCUUCUCCGUCCAUUCUCUAUCUUCAAACUCUUUUUACUUUUUCUCUUAUUCUUCAUUACUUCUUCUCCCUUUUUUUUUUUUUUCUCUUCUUUAUUAAUUCUUCUUCUUCUGCGUCUAUUCUUCAUCUUCAAAUUAUCAAGUGAAAAAUACCCACGGUGCCUUACAAGAAGAAUUGGUUUUGUUUGCUUCAAUUAUUUUUUGUAUUUUGUACUUUUGAUUGUUUCAAAAGAGGAUAAACUUGUAAUAAUGCAAUUUAAGUAGGGAUGUUUUAGACAAUUUUGGGUAUGAGAGUCUAAUUCCCAACCCCCCACUCCCUCGUAGCAGACUCCCAUUCUUCAUUCCUAACUUGGUGUUGGACCUACUAAAAUAAAUCCCAUUCCCCUUCUUAUUUCAAGAAGCAAACACGAUUUUGAUUUCAAUUCCCCAAUCCGAAAGUAAACGCACAAAAAUUGUACCCAUAUGAGAUUGCUUAUCCUCGAGUUUUUAGAUUGAAAAAAAAAAAGGAAAAAAGAAUGGCCCCAUUAGGAAGGGAUUUUAAGUGUUAGAUAAAGCCGGUGUUAACCAUUAGAAGGUCUCCGACCUUCAACUGUAAUAUAUUAAACCCAGAUAAAUUUACAUAUAAAUCACACAAACCAACAUGCCAAUCAAAUAAAUUACAUCAACUAACAACAAUUGACACAUUAAUUUUCAUAAUACAGAGGAUGCAGAAAAUUAAAAUGUUUUAUCUUUUCUCCUUAUUUGUGAAUUGGAAAAUGAAAAUGUUAAACAUACAGAAGAGUGAAACAGGAUGGAUAUAUAUACACACACACACACACACAGCUUUGGAGUUCAAUGUCAUCGUAUUGCUCCAAGAAGAUUGGCGCCAUCAAGCUUUGCACCUUCCAGAUGCUGUUUAAUCAUCACCAUAACACCUUCAGUAGACAUUAAUACAUAAUAGAAACACAAAAUUCACAUGAUCUGAAUGUCUGGUCUAUUUUACUUACCGUAUCUCGAAGAUUUACGUGCCGUAAAUAAGCUCUUUGAAGGUUGGCACCCUUUAAAUUGGCAUUACGUAGCUUUGCACCCUGCCGCAUAAAUGUUCGAAGUUUCAACAAAUUAAAGUCUCCUGAGAAAUACAUGUCACGAAAAAGUAGGGCUGAAACUUGCAUCUAAUGUACAAGAUUCAAUCAGGGGUGCUUGUCCCACAGUGAAAGUGUAUGGGGGAAAGUGCACUUUCACAAACCAAAGGGGCAAGAUGUGAUUAUCACACGAUUACAAAAGGACUGUAGUCAAGAGAGAGAACUGAACAUGCAGCUUGUAUUGAGGCCAUGAAAAUUGAUGAAAAGCAGUAACAAGCAACCAUUUUGAAAACACUUCAUAUGGUCGAAUCAAUAAAUCAAAGCUAAAAUGAUGUUGACGAUCGAUAGCUUUUAGGUGAUAAGAGUCUUGGCACUACAGUUAAAAUUAUUAUCUAGGAGUGCACACAUUAAUAAAAAAAAACACAACCAAUAAGCAUGCACUCUUAAUCAGCAUAUAAAUUAACAAGUUAGUUGCACCUUAUGUUGUUCCACAAACAGAUUGCUCGAACAAUUCACAAUCUUACCUUCAAAUUAGCUCCUUCCAAAUUAGCUCCCUCUAGGUUGGCAUUAGUAAGAUCAGCAGUCUGAAAAGUCAAGAGGACAAACAGAUUGCAAUUUGAUUAAAAUCUCAAAGUAGCAACAUUCUGCAUGAAAGAAGAGCAGCACAAUUGGCAACAUACAUUUUAGAUUAAGAGGAUGGGAUAAAAGCAAAAUUACAAGGACAUGAAGCAAAUGAGCCAUGUUUAGUAUGGCAAUUUUGACCCAAUAAUUGUGGCAGGUCUUGGAGAUAACAUAGGCAUACACAUAAGGCAGAAGCAAAUACUGUCGCAAACUCCUAGCUAACUACAAAUGUUCCAUAUAGAAAAAAACACCUGCAAAAGUAAGGGAAAAAGCAACAGAUAAAGAACUCAAGAUGCUAGACCUGUAAGUGUGCAGAUCGCAGGUCUGCUCCACAGAAGCUGCAGUCUAUCAAGCAAGCAUCUGCAAUGAUUUAAGAUAAAUUUGAAUCCAAAUGACAUUUUACCGCAAGUAGUUCCAGCCAUUUUGGGAACAAACAAGAAAUGCUAUUUUGUAUUCAUUGUAAUUCCUUAAGCUAAAUAACAAUCAUGUGCUAUCUUAACCAAGGUACAGUUGCAAAUUCUGAAAUUGUGAUGCCAUAGGUUGUUCUUAAUCUUUUUGAACUGAAUAUUGAAAAAAUAUUCCUUCAAUCAUAAAUGUUAAAUAAUUAAAAGAACUGUGAGGGGGGNNNNNNNNNNNNNNNNNNNNNNNNNNNNNNNNNNNNNNNNNNNNNNNNNNNNNNNNNNNNNNNNNNNNNNNNNNNNNNNNNNNNNNNNNNNNNNNNNNNNNNNNNNNNNNNNNNGGGGGGGGGGGGGGGGGAAUGAAUAAGCGGAUGCAUACAGAAAAUUAUGGAAAAUCUGUUAUGGAAAUAAUAUGAAAAUGGGUAUGCAUAACUACAUACUGAAUCUUGACUAAUUUCAAUUUAAUUCAGAUAAGAAAUUCCAGUAUGGGAAUUGCCUUGUAAAUUUGCACUCUGAAGAUUUGCACCAGCUAGUAAAGCUCCACGAAGGUUUGCCCCAGCAAAUUCACAUCUUCCCUAGGCAAGAUAAAACCCUUAAAAGGCAAUUUUGAAAAAUACAUAUAAUUGGGAGAAUAUCCAGUAUUGCUUUGACUCUCUUACUCACGCAAAGUUGCAUUGUGAAAAAUGGAACCCUCAGCAUCCACAUCCUGUAUCAAGAACAGACAGAUUCAGUAUGAUUAAUAUAACUGGUUGCUGGAAGACAGGACAAAAUCGCAUCUUGUCACUGUCAACUUGCAUGUUAAGAAUUAAACACGAAAACUGCAUGCUGUCCAAUUAUAAGAAACCUAUAAAAUUCAAAUCAACAUCAAUACUGGCUUAAGGAAGAUAUAAAAAUAAAAAUUAUACCAACCCGAAAUUUCGCAGAUUGAAGAUUUGCACGUGAGAAGAAAACAUUUCUAAGACACGCAUAGCUGAAGUCCACAAGUGAAAGAUCCUGGCCAUUUUAAUAAGAUAGCAUCAGAGGAAACAAUAUCUAAUGAAUAUAUAAUGUUCUUUCUUGCUUAUCUGAGAAUACUAAUGAGAUUAUCAAAAAAACUCUAAGCUACUGCUAAGAAGUCUUGUGUUACAUGAGUAUGAAUUGAGGAGGUAAAGAAGACCCUUCUCCAAUAAGUUACCAUAGAAGCCACAUAAAACCCUAAAGCAGUUACAAACUUACAAUGACCAGAAUAAACCACCCCAACUAUCUAUUGGCAAGUAAAAUCACUUCUCUGGAUUUCUGAAAACUAGCAAAACAAAUGCAUAAAUUGGCAAAUUCGAUGAUUUCCUCUGAAAACCAAAUUAUAGCAGACAUAAAACUUGGAAGUAUUCAUAGAAUAAAAAUCUUUCAAGCACCUCAAUUCAGUAAUUAUUACCAGCUUAGAAAGAUCAAGGCCAGAAAGAUUAAGUCCUCGAAAUCUGACUUUUUCAGACUGUAUACACUUGAUGAUAUCAAUGCGUGUUAGCUCAGUAUCUAACUCAUUAUCUUCCUUUCUCUUAUUUAUGACAGCAUGGAUUCUCUCAAUUAGUCCCUGAAAUGAAACACAUUAGAUGCAAACUAUUAUUUGAAAAAAGAAAUACAUUUUAUCCACUAACACACAUGGAUUUCAACAGCAAUCAUACAAUAAUUGAGGAAGGACGGUCAUAUCAGACUCAUCUGCCAAGAUUCAAUAAGCACAUCAAACUUGUUUACAUGUAAUUUCCACAUUCCACGUGAAUUUAUAAGGUCUGCCUAAGCAAACCAAAGAAGGCUACACUCAGUACUGUGUGUAUACUGCCUUACCUUUGCUGUUCCCCAGAUACCGUCCUGCAAUCCAGAUACUUAGCUGUGAAGUUUCAAGCCAGCGAAACCAUUUUAAAAGUACACAUGGACACAGAUACCAUUAUCUGAAUCAUCUUCGAUAACAAAUUAAAAUGCCCUAGCGUUCAAAAAACUUAGGAUCUCUUUAAGUGAAGUUCCUUUAAAAAAGUAGAAAAAAACUGAACAACAAUGUCAUGCUAAUAAAAGGUAAAAAAAAUAAAAUAAAAUAAAGCAUAAGGACAGAAGUUCACCAGGAGCAUGCCAGUAUAAACCAAAACGACCACAAAUCUCAACCAUAAAAUUUAAAGUAGUAAAGUAAAUAAUCAAGGGCAUGCAGUUGGCACAGGUGCUUCCAAAUAAAAUGAUGAUUCUUUUCAAACAGAAAAAAGAAAUGGAUGUUAAUAAACUAGAAGAAACCAUGUCUUACAAGUAAUUGAUAAUAUUCUGCUUCCCGUAGAAGCUCUAAAAACUCUGACUCUGUUAAUGUGGGGACAGCCCCAUCCCUUAACCAAUUCAGAAUAUGCCGAAAAUGUUUUCCGUCCCUAUCAACAAAGAUAUAGCCCUGCAAUAAUUCAAUAUGCUCAAAGAUAAGAAUCUGAAUAAUAUACCCAAGAGAAGUGCUUUUCCCUGGAAUAAUAAAAAGAAAAUAAGUCAAAACGUUUUUCUUAAUGGAAGAACACAAAGGAACAGCUCUAUGACUAACAUGAAAACCAUAAAUCAGAAUAAGAACCCAAAACUGGUCAUUUGGAGUUUCACCAGAUCAAAAAGAUCACAUGGAAAUAAAAUUGUGAAAAUGGGAUUAUUUAUGCCGAGGUCAUGGCUAAACUGCAAUCAUUACUCCAUUUUUGGUAGAAGGAGAAGAAGAAAGAAGAGUAGGUGAGUCAUCAUUCUUUCAGGUGAGUCAUCAUUCUUUCUCUGUGAUUAAUUGAUAUGAUGGAAGUGUUGUAGAUAUUAAUUUGAUAGUGAUUCCUCCCUUCAAAAGAAUUCAUUCCUUUUUUUAUUAUUUCACAAAGUUUAACUAAGACUGAGUUUUCUCAAUUUGAAGGCAUCGUGCACUCUACCCCUUUCUUUUCCUCACAUUGCUUCUUCCCAAUCCCAAAGGGAAGAAAUCAAGAAACAAUUACAAUUUUUAACUAUUCACCAGCAAAAACAAGGCAAAGAAAGAUGCUGAGUGUAAGCAAAAAUAAGAGAGUUAUACACCUCAGAGUCUUGGCACACAGUAUGGCGACCGCUGAACAUAGCUGCAAGCAUAGAUUCAGGCUCACGACGAGUCAGAGUAUCAAUUGUUGUAUAAAAUUUCUUUCCCCCUGGAUAUUAAUACAUAAAAUAUAAAUUUGUUCACUUAAAAGCAUGAAUUGUGCAAAUUUGUCAAUAAUGUCAUUCUUUCACAAACGUUCACCGAAAUGUAUAACAAUAAGUGCAUCAUAACAUAACUAAACGGCUUAAGAACUGCGCAGAUAUUACAUACAGUAGAGAAACAAGAAAUAGAAAAUGAGAUUUGCCCUUUUUAAACAGAAAGCAAUCAAAGAGUAAACUAAAGAGCUAAUAAUUCACAAAAUUCAGUUGAUUAAACUCAUUUACAAGUAAUUAGCAACAAAAUCCAAGCUAAAUAAAAAUAAUGAAAAUUAGGUUCUUAUAACAUCCGUCAAUUCUAUGAAAGUUUACCACGAUCAGCAACAAAUAGAUAAAUCGCAAUAAAGAAAAACCGACGACAUGUCGGUUGUGUAGUGCAUAAGUAAAGGAAUUUGCAGAUGAUGUAAAGAGAAUGAGGGAUAGUAACUGACCGAUGUUGAGACGAACCAUUGAAGACGAAUCGGAGUCCUUCGCCAUUGUCGAGUGUAAUGACUUGUCGUCUUACUUGCGCUCAUAGGUAUUUAUAUCAUAGCUGACACUGUUCGAAGGACAGCAAGGAUUUGGUGGGCACAAAUGCAUUUUGGAAAUUGGGCUUCGGCCCAAGAAAUCGAAAAUCAGAGGCUUUUUUUUAAAAAAAAUUUAAAAGGAUUAGAAUGUCUAUAAAUUAAUAGGGCUGAGACCAUCUUAAAUCUAUUAAGUAAAAGAGAUAUUAAAUAUUUUAUUAAUUAAUAAUUUAUUAAUUUACAGAAUUAUUUAUAAUUCAAUUAACAUACAUUUAAUAACUAAACAUUCAAUGUACAUAAUUUCUGAUUACAAUUCAAAGCACUAACAAUACUUCAUAAUUUCUUAUUACAAUUCAAGAAUUCAACCUCAUAGCUUUUAGAUGCAAUAAGAAAAAUAAGAAAUAAGAUUCAGUUAUAUUUAAAUUUUAAGAAAAAAACAAUAAAAUCAUAUUUUAUGUAAUUAAAAUAUCAUAGUCAACUACAUUUGUAAUUUCAACAAAUUAUUACUCUAUGAUUUAAAUGAGACCACAAAGUUAUAUAAGAUUUUAUCGAAAUUAUUAAUUUAAUCCAUUAGUCCAUGUCAAGACCUUGAAAAUUUAAUAAUUAUAUAAUAGAGAUUAUUAAUUUAUCGAGUAUUAAUUUAUAGAAGUUCUGAUUGUAUAUUAUUUUAUAUUAAUAAAGAAUAAAGUAGCAUUCUUUUUUAAUUCCGAAGUAAUAAAAUUAUGGCUAAAUUAAGAGAGUAGAUAUAUUUUAUAACUUGGUUUAAUAACAUCACGCGCCUCCCUUGUAGUUUUGCAGCUUUGAAGCUUUAUAAUGAAUCCUAUUAGCUUUGGCUGGAAAGUUAUAUUGUUAAAGAGAGUUUAUAUAUUAAACAAGGUGAUCUAAUAUUUCCAAAACUAAAUUUGGGAUCAAAAAUAGAAAACAUUUGCAUGUUUUUACCUUUUGGAAGAAUUACUUGAUAAGUGCUUCACAGAAAAAUGCUUGCUAUUAUAGAGCACCCUAAAAAAAAUCCUUAAUAAUUGAGGGAUCAUAAUAAAGUUCAAUUCUAAAUCUGUCAGAUAGAUCGAAAGUAACAAACCAUAUAUAUUUAAAUCUAUUUAGUAAUCCAGGGUUACAAGCCAAGCGUGCAAUAGCCAAUUCUGAAAAUCAAAGCUCAGCCUAUGCUCUCUGAGCACAAAUAAGAUCUGAUAUAUACAUAUCGAAUCCUCCAUUAUGUGGAGUGAAAUUUCCAUCGUGUACGGUGUACCUAACAAUGAGAAAGCAUGGCAGCAUAAAUUCAUCUUCCAUGUUAUUCUACUUAUUAGUACUGGUUCCCUCAUAACUUCUCCAAAUCGGGGAGGUCUGCAAUGUGUAAAGCACGUAAUCAGAUAAAAGAAAGAGAGCCAAAAAAAAAAAAAAAGGUAACAGCCAAAAGAUUAAAUUUCUUUGAGAAAUAGAAAAUGGGAGCUUUUGGCAUAGGCACAGAAUAGAAAGUAACAGAGUCAUUUACAGUUGUUCAGAAUAUGCAAGCUGAAAACAACUUUGAAUGCAAUGGACAAUUCCUCCAACAAACAAUCGAAUUGGAUUGUGGAAGAGACAAAAGCUUAAUGAGGUUAUGGUUUUGGCUAGGUGAACUCAAAAUUCUUUUAUAGACCAAGUAGGUAAAAACAAAUCCCAUAUAGAUGGAUGAACCUCAUACCAUGAACAGUUAAUCGCGAACACUUGCAGGCUUAUGCACACGACUAUGAAGAUACUAAGGGUUUCACCGAUGGUAAGUGAAAAAUAUAUGAUGUAUAAUUUAAAUGGAAGCACAUAGUUUCGGAUUGAAUUCAAGGUUAAAGUUCCACAGACAGACAGAAGAGAUGAAGCUUAAAAACUUACAGAGCAUUCCUUCAUCAUCACUGCUUUCAUCAUUUUGGCCAACAUGCUGAAAAAAGAAUAUGAUUCAAGUUAAAUGAUUGAGCAACAAUAAAAAACGUGCAAAAUUAAUGCUCUCUCCACAAAAAUUUCAGUCUAUAUUGGUAAGAAGAAACAGGAAGAAAAAAUUACCUCAGCAUCAUCGUCAUUGGAAGCCAAAUCAGCUGUAAAGACCACAAAAUGUUUGGUUAGAACCAGUGGAAGUCUUACUCUAAAAUUUUUAAUUUUUGAAUUUCGAAAGAUCUCGUAAUGACAAAGAUUUUCAUAUCCAGUGACCAAGUUUUGAAAAUUAGAAUACGGAAUGACAUCAACUAAAUUCACUAAUAUAAGCUAGAGGAAUCCCUAGUAGAUAUAGCGCACAUGCACACAUGAUAUGCAUCCGAAUACACAAUAAUAAAUUAUCUCAAAGUCAAUAAGAAGCCAAAAUUAGAGAUAAACUUUUAGCCACUAUAAGGAAGACUGAUAUUUGCAGUGUGAUUACAAUAAACAAACAGAAACUUCACUACCCAUAAGUAAAACAAAAUAAAUAAAGGAUAAUAACUAACCAAGAAAUGGAAAAGCUCACAUUCUCUGAACACGCACCCCAAAAAGAAAGAAAGAAAUAAAUGUUCUCAUUGGAUCUGAAGCACAAGCAAUCCACUGACAUCCUUCUAUAAUUAGGUAAUUUAAAGGGGUUAAGCUCACAUCUUUUACGGAAGUAAGAAGAGAAUUAACAACCUUCCAGAGGAUUUAGGGAAAUACCACGAGGCAAGAAAAAAGAAAUAUCCUUCUUCAAUCUAGAUAUCCUGAUACUGCUCACCAUCUACAACAGUCUGUGGCUUAAAAAGCAGGUCACUGAUCUCUCCCUCCCUCUGGCACCAUUUUCUCUCAUGUCUCAUUUUUCCCUUCCUGCCAACUCCCACUACAGUAUUGAAACCUAUUCUAUCAACUCUUCCCCCUCCAAUAACAAGACCAAAACCAAUUUUACUCGCCGGUUAGCUAGGUAGUAAAUGGAAAUUUGUGAAUCUGUCAUUCAUCCGUAGAAACAAACCAGAACUGCAUAAAUUCUCUUCUCUCCCAACAGCUUCUUUUCUCCAGAAAUAGGCACAAGUAUUUGACAUGGAAACAGUUUAUCUAACAUGGCCACCUUUAAAGACAAAGACAUACUAAGGACGUGGUUUUAGAUACGGAUACAAGAAACAAUCACAAAAUGUAAAAUCUAUACAUAUGAUAUUAAUUUCCAAUGGAUACAGCAAUUCAUUCUUUGACAUAACUUCAUCAGAUUACUAGGUUUGAUUAGGUUAUACACACAUUUAUUCAUUUAUUGAAUCUACAUGCACUUAGAAUGAGAGGUACCUAUAAAAACAAGUUACCAGAAAACAAUACAGCUAGAAAACAUUAAUCUAAGUAGUUCUAUAGGUUUAACUAACUGCAGGAAAAAACCAUUGAUUUUGUCCGCCAGAUUAUCGAGAUCCUAAUUCUGGUAAAAAGAAAAUGAGAUAAUAGAAAAUCAAAAAUUAAAUAGACACAAAAUGAGAAAUCAAGAUCAUAUGGCAACUAAUAUAUAGCAUGGGCUGCAGCUAACAAGCAAUAUAAGCCAUGAUAUUAUGCCAGAUACAAAUUUUGAGAUCCAAGAGAGAUCAAGAAGCAUGAAUACCACUAAAAUAUCGAAAGAAGUGAGUGCAGAAGGAUAAGAAAUCAGGUUGAUAUUCUUCAUACUUUGGAUCAACACGUAGUGAUGCAAUAAACUUGUAAUUAGCUUCAAAUGUAUAGGCUACCAUGUCAACAUUUCCGAAAACACACAAGAUUGUGCUGGAUUCAUACAUAGUACAUAUAUAAAAAAACAAUCUGCUUCUAAACUUCAUGAGAACAUCGAAUAAUGAACUUACAAUUUGAUCCCUCAUCAUCUUCAUCGCACCAUUUGUUCCAAUCAACCUUAAUGUAAGGUGCUGGUUUCUCUUCUGACUUGAGUAGCCUUUUCCACCAACCUUUCUCUUCUUUUUGGACCGAGCAUAUUAUGUUCCUUAAGCCAACUUUAGUCUUACAUUUCUGCACCACCAGCAACAAAACUCAAAGCAUUACAAAAGAGGUAUAUUUAGCCGCUCUUGACUCGAGUGAGAGAACAGGAUAAAUAGCCUAGGUAUAUCCACAUCCAUGUUAUGAGAUUGAUUAUGCAACAGCUAACUUUAAUAUAAAGCUUUUGCUUCAACAAAGACUAAAAUGUUUGUAAUUGUUAUGCUUUUGGAGCUAAAAUGUUUGGCAAACACCCACUUUUACUCUGCACCUAAUAUCUACCACCCACCCACACACUAAGUCUCUCGUUUGGUACAGCUAUUUAUCAGUAGUGGCUUUAAGCCACAACAUUUAAAGCGAAUUUACCCUAAAAUUUUACAAUGAAAAACCUAUACUACCUUUAACAUUGUUGUCAAAAUUAUUAUUAUAAGUAAUAUUUACCAAACACUAUCAACUUCCAAUUCAUAUCAAAGAGCUUUCACUCCACAAUAGCCGUGUCUUCUUAAGCCAGAACAACACAAUACCAAAGGCCUUAAGCUAGUGAUUUGAUUUCACAACAACUGCAGAUCAAGCCUCAAUCCCAAACAUACAUAAAUCAAAUGCAGAAAGCAAAAAUUUAACAAUAUGUUUGGUAUACUAAAUGUCUUUCAUAGUUUCAUUUCACAGGGUAUUUAGACAUGCAAUGAUAAAUUGGAGCAAUUUCAAGAACCGAAUUGACCUCAGGUAAAAUUUUGCCAAAAAGUUCCAAGCUGAAGUCGUAAAGCUCGCCUUGGACUCCGACGGCCGAGAAGCCAAAAAUCCCCUGAGGCUCGCAUUUCACAGAAAUGUCUUUCGCAUCGGGUAAUGAAAUGGUAAGGUAUACUUUAUCGGAGCGCUGAGCCCAAAGAACCUCCGGAUGGCGACUGAACAUAAAAGAAAUAAUAAUAAUAAUAAUAUUAUUAUUUUUUAUUGUGACAAUUUUGAACUAAUAAUUAGAGACAUUUAACAACAAUAUUGAUUAAUAUUGGAGAAGAAAAAUAAGGUUACAAGAGAGAAUCAGAAAGAUUACCUCAUUCUGGUGGAUGAUUGAAAACGGUGGGUCGAUUGAUGAACAGAAGUGUAACUGUCUGGGAGUGAGAGUGACUCUGCUGUUUACUGGGUAGAGUGUGCUUACUCGAAGAAAUUGAAAGUGAUAAUCUCGGGCAAGCCAACACGUCGAUUUGGUCAACAGUGGUCCAACAAACCAGGAACUAGGUUUUUUUUUUUAAAUGAUUUUUUUUUUCAGUAUUAUAUUGCCCCGCCCGUGGGCUAUUACAUUUUGGCCCUUUUGGGGACCCCUCGUUCUCUUACAAGAAGGGAAUAUUCUUUUCCAUCCACCGGUUUGUAGGCAGAGUACAUAUACUCUUCGAAAUUAAGGACAAAUUUCUGAAUCGUGCCGCAUUAGAAUUAAAUUGAGUCUCAAAAGAAUUUUGGUUAUAAGUAUAUCGUUCAAACGGUAAUAUAUUAAAAAAAAUAAUAUUUACUACAAUGUAGACCUAUCGGGACUUUGAAGCCCAGACCAAUUCUUGAGUCUAGCCUAAUAACACCUCAACAGAUCAAAAUUGAAAUCCAACUUAAAUUUCAAUAUUGUGUAGGGAUCUGCCUUAAUUUAGAUAUGUCAAGACCUGCCUUAGGCAUCAAAGUGAUCUAUCUUAACAUAACUAAGACUUUCUUUAAACAUCACAAUGAUUUAUCUUAACGUAGUCAAAUCUAGCCUAAAAAAAUCUAAAGAAGGAAAAAAGAAAUUAUUUUCACGUAUUGAGAGACUUAAAUUCUUAACCUUAUUCAUAAGAAAAAAAAGUGUAUUACUUAACUAAAUCGUGACUAAAAAUUAUAAUUAUUAUUUUUUGUACAUUUAGCUUUAAAAAAUCAUUAUAUAUAUAUAUUCAUAUAAGUUUUGACAUAAUAUACAUACCACUUAUUUGUUUUUUAAAUUAUACGAGAAUGAAAAAACUCAAGCAUUAAACACCAACUUUUGUUUCAUGCUAUCAAUCAACUUGAGAAAUUUUAUAAUAUAUCGGAAGUUCUACGUCACAAUUUAAUACGAAGCCUUCGAUUAAUAAUAAUUAGACACAUGACAAUAGAUGCUAGAGAAAUUUUAAAUUCCCUCUUUUCAUUAUCCCUCCAAAUUUAGAAUUUCAAAAAAUUAGAGAAUAAAUGUUGCUUGCUCUCUUUGUUAUCUAAUUCUAAUUAUUAUUUUUUUCUCUCUCUCUCCAAUCAAGUUGCUAGCAUUUUUUAAAUCUAUUGAAGAAUAAGAAGAAGGUUUUUGUCGAUGAAAUGAUUUUGGCAGCCUUUUUUACCCAAAGCUAACAUGAUUGCUGCGACUACCAAUGAAGAAAAAGAUGUGUUUUGCUGGCGAAGAAGAUGAUUUUUGAAGCAUGAGUGGCUGCCGUUUAUUUUUUUCCUUCAUAUUUUUCGAUGUAGUGGCUGUCCUCAAGUUUUAUUCAUUUACUUUUCAGUUGGCCUACUAUUUAUUGGCAUAAUGAAAAAUUUUAUUUUAAUAAGCAUUUAUAGAUUAAUUUGAGGAGGUUUCUUUUGCAAUAUUAGUGUGGUUUCUGCAUUGGUAUGAUUUAAAUUACGAACUUGCUACAAUCUUUAAUUAAACUGUCAAAAGUAAUUUAAAAAAUCUUUAAUUAAACCGUCAAAAGUAAUUUAAAAACUGACAGUAGAUAGAUUAGAGAUAGGCUUGACAAUUUAGCCCGACUCUAUUUUUAGUCUGAUUGAUCCGAUCCUAAUUUUUAAGACUUUGGCCUGAAUUUUUUGAUUUCGGGUCGGGUUCGGGUCAAAAUUUUAAGGCCCGAACAAAUUUAGGGUCAGGGUCGGACUUAAAACCAACCCGACCCGACCCUAUUUAAAAAAAAAAAAACUAACACACGCACACAACACAUGACAGUUCACUCUCUCUAAAUCGUAAAUCACACACACAAAAUACACUUACACAAAUUCACAAAAACCCUAAGCCAGCCACCCAGCCUGCUGCCGUCCUAUCAGCCAACAUCGUGACCGUCCGCCGCACGCCAGCCAAUCAGCCGUCGUCUCGUCGUCGCAUGUCUCACCAAUCAGCCAUCGUGACCGUCUGCGACGCUGCGACAUGAACUUGAACCAGCCGCCCUUUGUCGCCGUCCUGCCGCAUCCGCCUGCCAGCCAACGAUCAAUGCACACAGUUGAAUUGUGGGGUGGGAAAUGGUUUCGAUAGGGUCGGGCUCGACCCGACCCUAACUAUAAAGAGGUAGGGCUUUUUUAGGGUCGGGUUUUAAUUUUUUGUUGAUCGGGUCGGGUCGGGUUUGGCCAAACCCGAGCCCGACCCGACGUUUUGCCAUCCCUAAUUAGAGAUGAAGAUUGGAGAGAGAGAAAAAUAUAAUUUGAAUGAGAUAAUAAAGAGAGAAGAAAUUCUAUAAUACAUCAUAAGUAAUAUAACUCAUUGAUGUAUGCAUGAUAUAUGUAAUUAACCUUAAUAUAACUAACACUUGUAUGGUGAUAUUUCAAAAUAAAUAUACAUAUGUUAUAAAAUCAUUUACUUAUUGUAUGACUGACAUUUUAUUUUUGAUGUAUUGUACAAUUUCUCAGAAGAGAGUAGUAUUUAUUAUCUCUAAUUUUUUGAAAUUCUAAAUUUUGGAAGGAUAAUAGAAAGAGAAAUUUUAAAAAUUUUUCAACGUAUAAUGCCAUGUAUCUAAUUAUUAUUAGUCGGUGUUCCACGUUAAAACGUAAUAUAGAACCUCUGGACCUUACUGUAUAAUGUACUGUAGAAUUUCCUGAUCACACACUUUCUCAGUUGCAAAAGAGGUGGGCAUAUGAGUUCCUUACGGGGAUUUAGUGUGAAUCCACGCAAAGCCCAUAUAGAUUUUUCCGGUUAACCGCUAUGGCAUCCUAGUUUUAAACUCAGUACUAAAUUUACAGAUCCAUUUAAACCCCCCAAAUCAGUCUCUCACCGUCUCAAGUCUCAAACAAAAAACCUGACCGGAACCCAAACCGCCAAAUCCGAUUCGAUGGUGGACUGUGCUAAAACCCCUAAAAUUCCAAGACUGACAUGCGGUAAAGGAGAUGGUGAUAGACUUAGCAAUCUUCCGGAGCACAUCAUUUAUCACAUAUUCUCGUUCAUGGAAACAGUUGAUGUUGUUAGAGCAAGCACUGUUUCGCGAAGAUGGAGGUACUUGUGGCUUUCCGUUCCUUAUUUGAACUUCGACUAUCACACAAUUUGGUCAGACCCGGAAAGUAGAUGGUCUCGUAGGAAAAUCAAUGAUAAGUUCAAAGAUUUUGUCAACUGGGUAAUAUUUUCUCAAAAUGGGUCUGUUAAUAUUCAAAGAUUUCGUCUUUGCUGCUGGGAUUAUUUAGCAAGUUACGAUAACGAUAGAACGAUUUACAGAUGGGUUUCUGCUAUGGCACGUCGAAACGUGCAAGUGCUUGAUCUGGCUAUAGCUUCACUAUACCCAUUUGAGUUUGACUUGCCACAUAGUCUUGUAACUUGUGAUUCAUUGGUGGAACUGAAGUUGAGUUUGAGCUUUCAUGUUCACCGAUGUUUUUUAAAGCUGCCUACUGCUGCUGGUUUUAUUGGGCUCAAGUCUCUUGAUUUACAAAGUGUUGCGUUGGAUGAUAAUUUGUUUCCUGAAUUUAUUUCAAAUCUUCCCCUGCUUGAGAAUUUGUGUAUGUUGUCAUGUGUUUUUCCUGAAUUGAAGGUUCUUGACAUUUCUUCCACUAAUUUGAAGAAUUUGGCUCUGGAAUCCAUUGUUGGCAAUGAUAAUGCUGGCAAUGAUGAUGCUGGCAAUGAUGAUGCUGGCAACUACAAGCUUAAGAUUGCUUGUCCAAAUCUUGUGUCUUUUAAUUAUAUAGCUUUAGCUCCAUGGUUACCUCACUUUGCUUUUGAGAGCUUAAACUCCUUGCAAAAUGCAUUCAUUGACCUGGAUGAUUAUAACGAGGAUGACAUGGAGAACGAAAGAUGUCAUGUUUUAUCUACAAUCUUCAAUGACUUUCGUGAAGUUAAAGUUUUGAAAUUAUCAGAAGCCAUUCUUCUCGAGGUAUGAUUUCAAAUACAUUCAUUGCACCAAAUCAUGAUUCUGCCAGAACUUGUCUACACUUUUUUAUUUUGACAUUAGAAAUGAAGCUUAAGUAAACUGAAUCUACUUUCUUUGUUUGGUAAAAUAAGAAUUCUAUUGAUUAUGGAACCUUCCUAAAUGCUAAUUUGUUCUUUAGACUGUGUAUAAGUCAUUGUGACAUUGUAUGAAGUCUCAUUUAUCUGAGUAAUCAAUUGUUAUUGAUGUCAAAGACUAGAACUCAUUGGUGACUUGAGUUUAUGUAUAUUAUCGUUUGUUAGAUUUUUUGUGUGAUUAUUGCACUUAACUUGACUAAUGUAUUCUCUUUCUUUUUGCCAUUGUUCCUCCAGGUUCUUGAUCCUGAUCCUGCUCACGAAGAACCAGCAUUUUUUUCCACUUCAUUCAAUAAUUUGAAGUCCUUAAUACUUUCUGCAGGUCCGGGUGUAUGUCUCAUGCCAUCAAUGCUUAGGUUGCUCAACUGCUCUCCAAAUCUAGAAGCUCUUGCAAUAUAUUCUCCUAAGGUAAUCUUAACACCAAAAACUAUUCCAUUUGUUAGAUACCGUCGCUUCUAUCCAUUUUUUUUAAAAAUCAUAUCUCCCAUUUAUGUGCUAAAAUUUUAAUUUUGUUAAAGUGCAACUGGGCUUUGCUUAAAUUAUCGCAAUAGAGUUGAAACCUGAAAGUAUUUGUGAUAUAUUAUGUUUACCGCUUAGAGCUUAAAGUAAAUGUUAAUCUUGUGGCCUCUUGGUUGUUCCCAUGCUAUUGCUUGUUGAGCAGAUGGUUGAAUUUAGAGUCAAUCAAUCGGUUGUGUUCUUCUGAGGUUUGUGCAAGUUUUGUAAAAGAGCAAAGUUUAGUAUUUGUUUAGUUUGUGAAAAUGAUAUAGCUUUUUCUAAUUCAUCUUACUCUAUUCUUUGCUUAAAAAUGAAUUCUCCUUUUGAUUUGAUUCCUUGACUGCAUUUCGGUCUGUUUUCUCUUGGCAGCAUCGGCGUGGAUAUAAUGCUUAUAGGAAAACACCGAACAAGGCUGCUAUUUCAUGUUUGACAAAUCAUCUCAAGACAGUUGAAAUAAAACAUUUUAGCGGUGAUAUGAAUCAACUUGAAAUUGUGAGGUUUCUUCUAAGGAAUGGACAUGUAUUGCAGAGAAUGAGUAUUAGAUGGGUGGCAGAUGUUAAGAAUCAAGGGAAGAUUAUCUCAAGGAUAAUGAAGUUUCGGAGAUCAUCUUCAAGUGUUGUGCUGAAAUUCCUAGAUCCUAAGCCAGCUGAUGAUUUUUCAGAUUAUUUAUUUGAUGAUGAGCAAAAGAACUAAAAUUAUGUUUAAAUUAAAAAAAAAAAAAGUGGUUUAAGUGUAUGUUCGAAUUAAAUAGUCUUUUGGAUUUGUAGAAACUGAAAGGAGUACAGUGCCAGUCACUGUGGCAGCCUUAUGUUUUGUUUGAAAAAAUUCGGAAGCUUCUAAAUUGUUAUAUACCUCAAUUCUGAAGUCGUUAGUAUGUAUAUUAUAAGCAAUACAUAUGUUCCAUUUGUCAUAUUUUAUUUUGGCAUUACGAUUGUUUUGUCUUGAUUAAUAUUGAUUAUAAUUUGUUUAACAUUUAUCUGGCAUAUGUAGAAUUAUACUUUAUCUGAGUAGAUGACGCUGCUGCGUACAUCUUCAGGACUCGGUCAUAAACUGUUUAUCUCUGCGUCUGUCUAGCAUCCAUCCACGUAUGACCUGUCGGCUUUUUGCCCGCAAGCAUACAGUUAGGGGUGGUAAAAAUAUCUGUCCGGUCUGGAUUCGGUUCGCACCCGGAUGUUUUAUCCGGCCCGGUCUUGGGCAUCAUUUGAUAAAUUCGGAACCCGAGUUUUAUUAAGCGCCUUGGCCGUACAGCAGUAUAUUAUUUUAAAUAUUUAUAUUUAUUUGACUCAUUUAUUACAUAUAUAUAAAGUUUUAGACACUUAAAGUUUAUAUUUUCAUGUCAAAUUUCAUUAAAAUAAAUUUAAAACUUAUAAAAUUACCAAAAAAUAAAAAAUAUAUACAUAUAUAAUAUUAAAAAAUAUAAAAUCUGGGUACCCAAAUUAAAACCCGGCACAAUCCGACCCAGGCAUCUAUGCAUCCGGGUCGGGUCCGGUCAUUACGAUACCCCGACCCAGCCCAGGGUUUUGCCAUCCCUACAUGCAGUGUAUAUGAAUUGCAGUUCUUGUACGGACAACAUGUCAUCCAUAAAACUCGAGUUAUGUUCUUUUUAAUCUUUAGUUUAGAUUACAUUUUGCAAAACUAAUAAACGAUAGAGCUCCUAGCAAGGUCAAUAGUUAACUGCGAAUCCAGAAGAUCGGAAUGCUAUACCUUUCAAACAUGCAUUUCAAAGCCAUCUGCGGAAAUGGAAAACAAGCAUUUCAAACUCGUUGUUAAAACAAUGAUAAAAGUAAUUUUAAUCCUAAUUUUUAAUUCCAGGCAUGAAGCUAACUCAUAUACAAAGAGAUAUCAAGUAAGCAGAGGCGAAAGCUAAAAGCUUUGGUUACAGGGGUCGGUGUGAAUAAUGUAUAUAUCGUUUAGACAUAUUUUUGAAUAUCUAUUUUAAUUUAGGGGAUAUUAUAUAUAUUUAAAAAAAAUUAAAAUUUUUACGGGAGCCAUGGCUUACUAUAGUCUCCAUUAAGAUUCACCCUCCCUACUUUUCGUACUUCAUUAAAGUAUAGGAUAAAUAUUUACAAUAUUAUAAAUAGAUUUUAUAAAAGCAGUCCAUAUAUGAAAGUCCUUCUGCACUCUGAAUUAAAUAAAAAUAACGUGAGACUAACAAUUUAAGAGUCUUUUUUGCAACGUAUAUCGUGCAGUGAUGUACUCUAUCGACGGAGGACUCUCUUCAUAUGCUUUUUAUUUUUCCAUGCCUGAUUAUAAAUAGGAUCACUCUAUGUUACAUUAAACGUAACGUACACACACUCACAACAACAGUAACAAGUCCCAUCAUUAGAACUGUUGCUGUGAGUGCGUGUAUGUUACGUUUAACGUAACAUAUCACUAGCCUUAUAAAUAACAUCACUUUUAAGGAUUUUUACAAAUUUUUAUUACAACCGUAACUUUUGUCCUCAUACAAUAACGGUGUCCAUUGUCCACAUAUAAAAAGUUCAUCAAUAAACAUAUAACCUAAUUAAAAUUCGUGACAAAAUCCAAAGGAAAGAAAGCGUGGAGUAAUAUAUAUAACAAAGGCAUUGAGCAUACACCAGGUGUAAUUUGCAUUGCAUGGCCACCCUUACGUGGCAGUUCCGCCGAUUAACACAUCUUUAAAAGUUAAAGCCCCCCUCUCUCCUUGUUAAGGGCGUUUCAACACAACACUCAUCAAUGCAAGCAAAGAGACAGUGAAGGAAAAAUUAAGAAACCAAUAUUGUCACUUGGAAGAAAGAAACAAUCAUUACAUAUAUAAUACGAUGGAUACUAAGAACAACAGGAAGCAUUUGUCCUGCAUUGCCAACGACGUCGUUCACAGAUGUGCACUGUACGUAUCUCUCUCUCUCUCUCUCUCUCCUUUUCUUUUUCUCCCCGAUCACUUUGUUUUCUUUAUAUAUACGAAUGUAUGUAGAACGUAGUAGGUUUUGUAUAAAUAUCUGUUGCACACAUUAUUUGAUGUGCAUUUAAAUAUAAUUAAUGGUAAUUGAGAUGACACACAAAGACAAUGCAAAAAAAGAAAAAAAAAGAGAGAGUAAAUUAAUGAAUUUGCCUUGAUCCAGUUAAUUUGUGUGCAUUUAGCUGACUGUAAGGUGGUUUCGAGUGUGUUUUUGUUUGGCAACUUUUCACACAAAAGCACUUUUGGGAAGCACUUUAUGUAAUGUAAGUGCCUCUAAAAACUGUUUUAUGUAUUACUGCCAAAUGCAGUGCAGAGGUUACAAUGGGAGGGUCGGUUUUAUACCUGUUCUUCGAGACUUAAUUUCAAUAGGAGAUUGAAAUAUUUAUGAGAAUUAUGUUGUUAGCAGACUUAAUUCUUUUGGAGGAAUUCAUUCCAUCGUAGACCACUCAAUGAAUUUGGUCGAUUGAGAUUAUUUGAGUGCAUGCUUCAAAACUGGAGCAUUAAUUCUUUGACAUAAAUGGGCUUUAACAUAAGGCGCGUUCGCUUAUUCCAUUUAUUCAAGAAGUUGGCACUCAAUUUUUUAUUACUAGCCUUUAGAUGGCCAGCAGCCUUUUGUAGCCCUUUCUAGUUUCUACUAAAGUGGUUAUGUGCAAUAGUUCUAUUCUGGGUUGCAAAAUUAUUGUGUCAGUAGAAUCCACAUACAUUAUGUACUUUUCUGUAUUUAAUUUCAAGAGGCUUAGUUAUAUCAUAGUUUUAGGAUUAUAAUAAGUCUGUCCGUUACCAUGUUAUUGGAAUUUUUUUUUUUUUCUAAAUUAGUUGGACACAUUAUUGGAUUGGUCAAUAAAGGAAAGCAUUUGGCAAGUACUUGGUUUGAUAUUAACAUAUAGUUGCAGUAAAGCACAUUAACUUGUGCAUCCUGAAAUUCUUGCAGGCAAGUAAAGGCUUCUGAGGAUUCAUUGGUGGAGGGGUUUGAAGCUGAAUGGAAGCCUGAAAUCGGACAGUAUUCGAAGAAAUUUGUGGAAUAUUGCAGCAUAAAGGCUCUUACUAACAUGUGCCAGAGCAUAGAAGAAAAGAUUAGUGAUGGAUCAUUUAGUCGACUCACAUUUGAUAUGAUGCUUGCCUGGGAAAUGCCUAGUGCCGCCGAUGAGGAGUCUCAUACUGUAAGCAAUCAUCAUAAUACUCAUAUCCUAUAUUUAUUUCAUGGUCCACCAAAUCAUUAUGAUAUUAUCCCAAUUUUGGUGUGCCUAUCUUCUCUUCAAGUUGCUUCUUCUAUUUCUUUUUCAUUAUACAUUCUCUGGUUCUCAUCAGUUUUCGCUCCAAUUAAAAGAAGCAUGAAUUCUUUCACUUAUCUGCUGAAUCUGUUCUAAUGAUUGGGCAAUAGAUUUUUAUUCCUCUCUGUGGUUACUACUAUUUUGAUCUUGUGCAGGAGUGCAUGGGAAAGGAGAAUGAGGAUAGAAAGGCUGUAAAAGUCACUUCAGAUCAUGAUGAAAUUCCUCUCUUCUAUACAGACAUCAUGCCUCUUCUAGUAAGAGCGUCUCUUUCUGAUCAUUUGAGUGCUAAUGUACCGACCAAGCAUUAGCCUUCACUGAAACUCGUAUAUGAUUUCAUGAACAUUGAUUAAUUGUUAUUUUUGCUAACUACUCUAUGAGAUCUGAUCAAAUUAGAUAUAUAAAUGUUGCGAUUGAUCUUGGAUUUGCUUUAUAUUUGGCCAUCAAUUAUAUUUUACUCUUCAUUUUUAUAUUUGUUUGGUUUGAUAAUUUACCCUCUGGCCCAUAUAUAUGAUGGUAGGUUAAUAAUGAACCGAGUGUUGGAGAAGAUGCAUUUGUAUGGAUGGGAUCCUUAGUUCCUCUAGUUUCAGAUGUUAUUAAUGGGAGAUUUACAUAUGAAAUUCUGACAGCGCCAACAGGAAACCGGCUCCAUUCUCCAGCAUAUGAUAUAUUUCUAAAGGAGAUGGACAAGUAAUUCUUCCAAUUCUUCCAUGCAGCAAUUUUACCACUCAGAAACUUUAAGUGCCGUUUGGUUUUGUGACAUGCAAAUUAUCAUGGAACACUCAAAAUGAGUUGUUCUUAACAAUUUCUAGAAUUUGCAAACUCACUAACCAUAUCUGAAAAUGCAGAAGCAUUAUUACCACUUAUUGAUAACAAUAUCUCUGCUCGACUUGUUUGGGUGCUUUCAGCCGUUUUUCAUUUUCUUUUGGAAAUCUUGAUUUCAUAGAUGCAUAAAACAUUUGCAAAAACAAGCAACUCCAAAGGGUGUUGAGCUGGCUGACGAUGAAUUUAUACUGCAUGUGGAGGGAACUGCAAGCACACAGAGAGUAGUGCGCCAUAUUGGGAAAACAAGUUGGCCUGGUAUGUCUUUAGUUUGAUGUCUUACAUCUUUUUAACUGCUGUAGAAAUUGUUACUUGGAUUUUACUAAUCAUAAUUGUUGUCUCUAGGUAGGCUCACACUGACAAAUUAUGCGCUCUACUUCGAGGCUUCGGGAGUAAUAACAUAUGAAGAUGCUCUAAAGAUUGACCUCUCAAAAGAUGCUGAACUAUCUGUUAAACCAACUGCCACAGGUCCAUGGGGUGCUCCGCUUUUUGACAAGGCAAUUGUAGUCGAGUCCCCUGAACAGUAAGCAUAGUUGCACUUAUAUGAAAUUACUGGAGCUAUUAGCAUCGUUAUUCUUAUUUUAAAAAUUGUUAAAUGCUUGGUAGUUAUCCCAUAAGCUAGAUUUUAAAUGCAUAACAUACAAGGCAGACAUCAGAAAGCAUUCUGAUUCGUUUAUUAAAGUUUGUCUUUUAUUAAGCUAAAGAUAUUAAUGCUGCUAGAUUUUUCUAAUUUGGUUGUAGAUAUUGGUUAGUUACACUGUCAAAUGAGCAAAUCUCGUGGAUAUUUCAUAGUGUGGUUAUGCAAUUGUUUUUUGCCCUUCACUUUUCUAGAUCUGAGGGAAUUGUCCUGGAGUUUCCAGAGAUAACUAGCUCGACAAGGCGUGAUCAUUGGCUGGCCCUCACAAAGGAGAUAAUGUUAAUGCACAAAUUCCUGUCAAAAUUCAAGGUGGAAUGUCCAAUACAAGCAUGGGAGAUGAAUGCAAGGACAAUACUUUGCAUCAUAAGACUCCAUGCAGCAAGAGAAAUGCUGAGGAUAUUGCCUCCAGAUCCCACAAAAUUCUUGAUUUUUGCUUUGUAUGAUGAGUUGCCAAAGGGAGACUACGUGCUAGAAGAGCUUGCUGAGAGUCUGAAGAAAGUUAAUUGUGGACAUCCUUCCAGUGCUAGCUCAAUUCUGAGAUGUAUGAACCUGUCAAUUGCCGCAAGUGGAGAAGUAAAAGAAGGAAAAGAACUGGAGGAACAUAAACAUAUAAGUGAUGAAAGCUGUUCAUCACUGGAAACUGCCAUCAAUCAAUCUAAAGAGCAAGCAAAGGCAAUUGAAAUUGCUAAGUCUACCACUGAGGGCCUGAAAGAUGAAGGGAUCAGUGAUAGUAUCCUUGUUCUCUUGGUAUGUUUUUACUUCCAAAUUGUUGUUUAUGCUGCUGAUUUUAUAUUGACAGAAUAAGUAAUGACAUCUCAACAAAUCAUGGUAUUGAGAGCUUGUUUGACAUUUAUCAAACACAGCAAAGAAAUUGAAUUUUAUGAAAUUCCUAUAGCACCCUAUAAUUUGUACCAAAAAAUCUCUGCACCUUUGGCAUGCUGUAUGGUAUGGAAGUAUAGCUGUCUCAGAGAGGUUACUGUUAUUUACUUUAUUUGGUUUUGUAGUAUUGAUGUUAAGUUUGAUUUAAUAAUGUAGGAGCUACUAAAGCCACUUAAAAGUGUUUUACCCUGGAUUCGAGAAGUUGUUUCAUGGGAAAAACCAGCAACCACCCUCACUGUGAUUGCAACAACUCUACUAAUAGUGUACAAGUAAGUCAGUGCUCCCUCGUAAUUUUCUUAUAUACGGAAAUUUUUUUGAAAGUGCAUGUUGAUCAAGAACCACUUCAUUACUUGGCCUAUUAAUGUGUAAACUUUGCAAAUGACUAGUAAACUAUAUAAUGGCAAUGUAGGGAGUGGGUAGGCCAGGCUAUAGCUGCUUGUUUGCUCACCAUCGUGGUGAAGAUGCUUCAGGCAAGAAAAAAAAGGUUGACAGACAAAUGCAAUGAGAUAGUAGUAUGCACUGCUUCAGAUCAGAGCACCGUGGAGAGCAUUGUGUCGGCUCAAUACAGUUUGAUAACUAUUCAUGAGAUGUUGCAGGCAGCAAACAUUAUGAUUUUGAAGAUAUGGUCGAUAUUAAUUUCAAAGGCCCGCAAGGUACUCAUUUUGAUAACCUAUGCUUUCAGCUUAGCAAUUAAAUAUCGUUUUCAAUCAAUAUUGCUUAUUCGUCGUUAGCUGAAGUUCGUUUACCUACUACAUUUGUUGGAUGUCUUCAAUUAUUGAGGAGUCUUAGUUGCAUUUCCAAAUUGUUCUAAAUCCUCGUUUCAUUUAAUGGGUUGCAGCAUGCGGACACGGUUAUGGUGGCAUUGACUGGGUUAGCAAUAGUAUUAGCAGUUGUUCCAUUCAAGUAUAUUGUCAUGGGAGGUGUGCUGUACGGCUUCAUUAUGAACUCGAAGCCAAUGAAGUACCUGGGAAACAACUCAAACGACCAAAGCGGCAACAGACGUCUAAAAGAAUGGUGGGAGUCAAUCCCUAUUAUUCCUGUUCGCGUCGUGGACAAGCUUCCUGAGUGCCCAAAAUAAUGUGUCGGCUCCUGCACAAUCACAGUUGCCUAAAUCCUCUGUUUCUGAACUUUUGUUAUCAACUUACUGCACGAUAUACACUUCUGAGUUUGCUUUUGCCAUCAGAGUAGAACUGUAUCUGAAACACAGCAUACACUUAAAUGCUCAUUACAAAUUUGGAGAAAAGCACAAGUAGAAAAGGAUUGAAGACAUUCAGUAACGUUGAAAUUCUGCAUUUUCUUUAAUUUUUGUUAUGAACAAGUUUCUUAAUUAUUUGUUCUCUUGAUGUAAAAUAGCAUAUUGCUGGGAGUAAUGAAGAUGUGACUGUGCUUUUCCUAUUAGCAUGUUAAUAAAAGCAAAAUGGAAAAUUAUUAGUUACGUCCUCUCGUUUUGCGGCUUAUUGAGCUAACAAGUAACUUCUUCAUUACUAGCGUGCAAGUUUGCAACUAGUGAAUCUCAAAUAUAACUCUACCCAAUGGAUGGAUGUACGAUGGAUGUACCUACCCAAUCAUUUAUUUCUCAUUAAAUCUGUUAAAACAGAAAAAGUCCCGACGUCAUAUUCUUCGCGCCUUUUAAAAAACGACACGUGUCGUAUCCCACUACUCGCGUGCUGGAAACUUUAACCCACUCUGACUGCGUGACAGCAGAUCAUUCCCAAUUCAUUUCAGUUUCACUGUCACUUUCACUCCUCCUCAGGCGCCUUCCGACAAACAGGAAGAAUGCAAACUUGAAAACCCCCAAAAACCCUAACGUUCCCCCGGAGACCCUAACCCACCAUAAACCCUGGCUCUUAAUCCUAGCCACUAUGAGCGACCAAGACGAGCAAUCGCGAGCUCAGAAAGCCGCCCAGUUAACAAGUCCGCUCUCAUCCUCUCUCUCGAACCUUUCUUCUUCUUCAAGAAGCAUCCCCUCUAAUCAAGAUUUCCAUUUCUUCUACAAUUUCCCUGAAUUCAAUCAACCCGUCCAAGAAAUCGCGAACCAAUCGCAGCUCCUCCUACAAUCCAUCGGCUCAUCGGAGAUUUUUAACCAACCGAUCAAUUUUCCUGAUGAGGUUGACAUCUCGGACGCCUACGACUGGCUUGUCGACGUAAACGACAACGUUUUCGAGCGUAUGGAUGUUUCUUUCGACGAAUUUAGUAAAGUAAGAGGGGAAAAUGGGGAAGGAGAUGGAAAUGAAGGUGGCUUUCAGUUGGUUUAUGGGAAGAACAAGAAGAAGGGCGACAUUGUGGGUGGCUCUGCCCCGGCCAGUGUGAAAGUGAAGGACAGGAAAGAGAAAAGCAAGGUGCCGUUUCAUAUAUCGACUAUAACAAAACCGCAAGAGGAGUACAAGAUAGUUGUGAACAAUGCGAACCAGCCGUUUCAGCAUGUUUGGUUGCAGAAGAUUGAGGACAGUGGACGGUUUAUCCAUCCUCUUGUAAGUUUGUUAUUUUUUGAAUAUUUUGAUAUUGGAUUUGACUUACUGGGUUUGUUAAAUUUGUAAUCUGAAAAUAGUACCUUUCUUAGGGACUUUUUAGUGAUCAAUUAUUUCUUUCAUUUUCUUUUUGGGUGGUUUGUGGUAUAUGUUUACGCUUAUCUUGUUUGGAAUUUGUGUGCAAUUCUUAUUAUUCAUGCGAGAAUUUUAACACUAUCAUGUGGUUCAUGCUUGCCAAAAAUAUACCAAAACACUUUUGCUUAUUGCUAUUGCUUUAUUUGUACAGGACAAUCUUUCUGUUUUGGAUUUUGUUGAUAAAGAUAUAGGGGAUGUGGAACCUGUAAAACCUCCCUCGUUGGAGCAGACACCAUUCAAGCUUGUGGAAGAAGUUAAAGAUUUAAAGGAGCUAGCUGCUAAAUUGAAGAGCGUAGAUGAGUUUGCGGUAAAGUCUGACUUCUGUGAUUAUGUUUUAUUGAUAAAUAAUGCCGUGGUUCAGCCUUACUGCAGUAGUUUCUUUUUUUCAGCCUUUUGAUUUCUCUUUUCUGAUGGGGCAUUUCAUAUACAGAACUGAACACUGUCCUAUGUAGAGGAUAUAGUGUAGUUAAGGCACAUGUCACCGAUGUCAGCUACUUCAAAAUUAUAUAGUGCUGGAUGUGGUUUAAGCCAAUAAGACAAGAAAGGGGUGUGGCCGCCUAUGAAGAUACAUACAAAUAUGUUAAUAUUCGAAACAUAUACAAAGAAAUGUGCCUGUAAUAGUUUUCCUGUCUACGUAAAGUAGUAAACCAGCUGUCUAUUUAAUCUUGAUACAAGUUUUGCAUGUUUAAAAAAUUAUCUUUCAUCUUUAACAGUGAGUCCAUUUUUAGCUGUAAUCCUUUUCUCAAGCAUGACUUGGUUUUGCUUUCGUUUUCAUCUCAACAGUAAACCUGUUUGCAACUAGAAAACAUUGUAAUUUUUUUGUAACUUUUCUCUAGGUCGACUUGGAACAUAAUCAAUAUCGAUCUUUCCUAGGAUUGACUUGCCUGAUGCAAAUUUCCACCAGAACCGAAGAUUUUGUGGUAGAUACGUUAAAGCUUCGCGUUCAAGUUGGGCCAUAUCUUAGGGAAGUUUUUAAAGAUCCUACCAAGAAAAAGGUUGGUCCCUUCAACAUGCUCUCGCGUAGCUUUGUGAUAAAUCUUAUUUUUUCCCCCCCAAAUUAUGUUAACUUUUACUUUACUAGGUGAUGCAUGGAGCAGAUCGAGAUAUUGUGUGGCUUCAACGGGACUUUGGCAUAUAUUUGUGCAAUAUGUUUGACACAGGACAGGUUUUAUCCCUUGAAACUCUCUUUGAAAUUUGAGACUUUAUUGAUGAUCUUGUCUGGUUUUUUGUACAAUGGUUAAAUUUAUCUUAUCUUAUCUGCUUUUUUGUGGUCUAAUUUAUGAGUGUUGAUGCAAGCCUUUAUUCUACUAAAUUAGUUAAAUUGAGUUAUCUUUUGAUACUGUAUUUUCAAUUUUGUAAUUCAUCUUAUGUGUUUGAGUCAAGGUUUGGCUUCAAAAAGCCUUGUCAGUUACAUGUCAUCUCUCCCUUAAUUUUUUCAAAGUAGCUUCGCUUGUCAUUUGAACUAUUUGUAUCAUUAUUUUCAAUUUUGAUGUGGAACUUCCCCCAUUUAUUAAUGUUCUUUUGGUUGUUUUUGUGUAAUGCUCUUUUGUAAAUUUUACCGUGGCAUUUAUUUUGUUUUGCAUUUCAAAUAAUAGUGAGAAUUGCUUUUUUCAGUCCUAAGUUUAUUGGUUUAUUGUAAAUAUACUGUAUAUUUAUUUUGGUUUGCAUUGGGAGAUGAUCGUGGGAAUUUGUUUCUGUCUUUUCAUAAGGCCUCAAGAGUCUUGAAAUUGGAGAGAAAUAGUUUGGAGUAUCUUCUACAUCACUUUUGUGGAGUUAAUGCCAACAAAGAGUGAGUCCUUUUGUAAAGUACCUGAUCUGUUUCUCCUUAUAGUUUCCGCCCUUCAUCAUCCUAAGUCAACUCAUUGCAGAUACCAGAACGCAGAUUGGAGAGUACGUCCUCUUCCCGACGAGAUGCUGAGGUACCUUUGGUUCUCUUUUUAUCUUCUUUGUAACCUACUUUUCUAAUGAGUUCUCCAAAAAAAAAAAAAUUAUGAUCUGUUUGGCAUGAAAAUAAUUACUACUAUUUUAAAGUUCUUGUAUUCUUUGGAAAAGCAGAAAUCAUAUAUCAUCAUUUAAGUGUUUGGGGUUUCAUCUUUGCCUGUAUUUUUGUAGAAACUAAUAAUAUUUUUUUUUCUGUGGCUUAGGAUUUGAAUUGUGGGAAUAUCUAUGUUGGAAAUUAAUAAUGAGUGCACAUUGACUCUUGAUAGUGGACAAAUAUUUGGACAGCCAGGAAGGGGAAGGCCAACAAAAGUUUUGGGUUUUUAUAAGUUGAAGUUAUGAAUGGUUUUAUAAUUAAUUAGGUAUAGGUUUCCUCAUUUGGGUAUUUCUGGGAGAUCUGGGUUAUAAGAUUGAGAUAUUCCAGCCUGUAUAGAUAAUUGUAGGGUUGCCUGUGUUUGUGAUAUUCCAGCGCGUUUAUUAUUACUACUUCUUAUAUAUAUAAAAUUUUAGACUCUUUCCAUGUCUAACAAGAAGUUUUCAUGAUAUCACUUGGAUCCUACUCAUGCAGACUUGUAAGGCAUCCUUAGGUGCGGUUAUGUGAUCUGGUUUUUAUAAAUAUUUUUAAAUUUUUUGUCAGAGACAAUGCCUGUAGUGACAAUGUACUGACUUAUCUUUUGGUUAUUACCAAGCUGAAUCAGGUUGCCUGUGGUUUAUGACCAUACCAUUUGGUCUUAUAAAAUGUUCUUCCCUUCACCUCAUGUUCUCAUACUUUAAAGCAUGAAUAAUAUCUAAGGGCCUGAGAUUAUUUCAUUAAUUUUUCCCAAGUCUAGAUCCUUCCCAGAGAAAUGGAUGGAUUACCCACACACUCACCAGUAACAUGUCGUACUUUAUGACGGUUUUGCAUUACUGCUGUAUGUCAUUUAAUUUGCCCUUUUGAGGAUUCUUUAUUUUCUCUGGGCUGAUGUUACUUUGUGGUGCUUUUUUUUCCUAUUUAGUCAAAAUAUAUAUUCAUCAUAGAGUUUCUCUGUUAGAAUUUUCUUAGCUUUGAGGAUUCGUUAGUGGCAUAUCAUCCAAUUGAUUAUACUUGUGAUGACAGAUACGCUAGAGAAGAUACACACUAUCUGUUGUAUAUAUAUGAUAUAAUGAAAAUCAAGUUGUCCUCAAUGCCCAAGGAGUCUGAGAAUUCUGAUACUCCCCUGACAGAGGUAUGAUUUUUGCUUAACUGUUGGUGUUGUUUUGUAAAACUGUUGGGCAUCUCUAUGAUUAUAGAGAAUCCAUUUUUAAAUGCUUUUUUCAGAUCUUGUUGUGCCAUGUAUGACAGACCAUUGCGUCUGGAGAUUGGCAUGGAGCUUAAUAAUUACAAUGUUAAAAAUAGAACAUAAAAUAUUGGGAAGUAUCUAUCAUGACUAAUUCUUCAACUGUUUAAGGAAGAUAGUUUAAAUCCGAAUAUCCUUUUUUGGAUUGUGGACUAAAGAAAAUUGUCAACUCUUGAUUUCUCUUCCCAAGGAUGAAGACGUAUCAGUCUGUUGGCAAACACAUUUUUUGAAUUUUACUUUAGUUAUCUAUAAUUUUACCAUAUUGAGCAAACAUUUUGUUGCAAACAGGUCUACAAGCGCAGUUAUGACGUAUGCAGGCAGCUGUAUGAGAAGGAGCUUCUGUCAGAAAAUUCUUAUCUCCACAUUUAUGGGUUUGUCUUUGUCCCUAUUCAUCUCAGUUUAAGUUUUCAUUUAGUGGCCUCGCCUGUUUAAAAUCUUCUCUCAUACAGUUUUUGUUUGUUUCAUUCUUUACUUAGCAUUACUUCUCUUGUUUAAUUUUAGUUCUAUUUUGGACUUCGUAUUUAUGUGAUUUGACAGAACUUAAUCAGUGGAGCUUAUUUCUCUAUGUUGAAAUAGGUUGCAGGGGGCUGGUCUCAAUGCUCAGCAGCUUGCUGUUGUUGCGGUAUGUCAGUUCUUCAUGUGUUUUUCAAACUUUGCCACUUUUCUAUCUGGAUAUUAUAUGCAUGAGGAUGCUACUGAAAAUGUAUUAUCCGCAUGUUUUGUUUACUAGUUGCAUCUUCAAAUGAAACAAAGUCUUGACCCAGAAGAAUCCGUAACGCACCAAUAGUCACUAAUAGGAUUGUCUUGAGAAAUUUACUUCUAAAUUUUUGAGUGGAUGAUAGAAGGGUGGAUUUUAAGUAGCUGACACAUCAUUGCCAACUGCUGAUAGAGUCUGUUGCAUACUUGAGUAUUCUUGCUAGUUCUGGCCCCAUUGAUCCCACUUCAAUGAUUUGCAGGGUCUUUGUGAAUGGCGAGAUGUUAUUGCUCGUGCAGAUGAUGAAAGUACUGGCUAUGUAUUGCCAAACAGAACUCUGAUUGAAAUUGGUAGAAACCUGUCUGAAUUUCCUCCAACUCUCUCUUCUAUAUGUAUAUAAUCCAUUUGGUGAGUUAUGAGUUAAUCAUAUUUUCCUUUUGUGGUAAAAGCCAAACAGUUGCCUACUACUGCUGCCAAGUUACGUCGAUUGUUGAAAUCAAAGCACUCAUAUAUUGAACGCUAUAUGGGUCCGGUACUUAGCAUCAUAAAAAAUUCUAUGCAAAAUGCUGCUAAUUUUGAAGUCAUUGCUCAAAAAUUGAAAGAGGAACGUAUGGAAGUGGUAAGACCUGCAUGCUCAUGUUUGAUUGUUUUGUUAUAUCAGUGAUCCAAAUUGAUUAUUUUUCUUUGAGAAUUUGAUGUUAAUGCCUUCAAUGGAUUGCCAACAUACAUUGAUUUUCUUUUUCUUUUCCUUGGAUUUCGUUAGAAUCAGACCAACCAUCUUUUAAACGAGGAUGAUGGUCCAAAACCUUAAGGUCUACUACGAUGAAUUGCUACUUUUUGUGCAAGUUCUUGUAAUUCACUCAGCUGGUUGUCUUCGGCAAAUGAAAGGAAAAAGGAAAUUCAUCCAAUCCAGUUCUAUUGAAGAAAAAGAAUCCUAGUUGAUCUUACAAAAUUAAGCUUUCAUAAUUUGUUAACCCAUGGAAUGUGAUUAAAACUCAUGGACAAAGGAUGUUCCAGUUGAGAAAGGGAUUUGAGUGAUUUUUAGCAAUUAUCAGUGAUGUCUUCAUUAGAAGUAAGUUUAUGGUUUAUAGCAGUAAAUGCUCAAUAAUUAGGUACUCCUUGUAUAUUGGCUGACCGGGUCCCAUGUUUGUAGUAGGUUUUGUGAGCUACAGAGGAUUAACUUCAGUCAGUUUUCCAUGUUAUGGCUGUUAAGAGCUAUGUCACCAUUUUUCUUUGUUUACAUCAAACUAAUCUUUUUUUUUCCCCCCAUUUUUCCUUAUUUGUGUAGGCAUCAGAAGAAACUGAAGUUUUAGUUCUUGAUACUUCCUCAAACUUGAAAAUUCCGAAUGUUGGAAGGGAGAGUGUUGAUGGUGUUGAUGCAUUAGUUGGUACCACGAUGCCUCACCCACCAGCUUACACCCAGCUGAAACAAGAGCCUCCAAAGGUUGGAAGCAGUGUCGCAGAACUUGACAGAAAUGGACUAGGGUCUUUUGCGCAUCCUGGAGAAGCAAUUGCUUCAGAAAAUAAAGAAGCUACUCAUAUUUCAACACUUUCCAGCUCUGGUCAAAGUAGAGACUUGAAUGCUUGCAAGUCACCUUCACCAAGGGUUGUGAAUUUGAUGCCUUAAUGUGGAUUUUUUUUUUUUUUGGUUAAGAGGUUUAGCAUUCAAUUUCUUUUUCUUUGGUUGUGAAUUUGAUGCCUUAAUGUGGAUUGGAUUUUUUUUUUUUUUGGUUAAGAGGUUUAGCAUUCAAUUUCUUUUUCUUUAUAGGUUACUGAAGCUGCUGUUCAGGCUCUAAAGAAGCCGAACCGUGGUUUUGGAGCACUGCUGGGUAACCCAAAGAGAAAGUUUGAUGGCGAGAAAAAGGUGAGUUAAUCAUUUGCUAGUAAUGGUUGUUAAACAUCUGCUAUGUCAUUGUCACAUAGCAAAAUAACUAUUUCUGAGGCCUGCCAGUCACCCAGUUUGUGCAUGUGUGGUUGGGAAGAAGGCAACAAAGGAAGAAUAUAGUUAAACAUUUGCUAUGUUAUUCUUACAUAGCAAAAUAACUACUACUGAGGCCUGCCAGUCAGCCAGUCUCUGCAUGUUGGUUGCAAAGAAGGCAACAAAAGAAGAAUGUUUUUUUUUUUUGAAUCUUCAUUCCAUGAUUCACUUUCUUUUCAAUUUUUCUUGUCAACUAGCAUGUACAUUUGCCUUCUUGUUGCCUUUUUCGUUGCGUGAGUCAUUAUGAAUUAUGAUUUAUAUUAUACGGAAAUUGUGAGUGGGCAACUGUUGGGCUAUAAUCAAACAUGCAAAAUUUCGGGUCCCAUGACUAAGCGCUGCUAUCAUCUGGAUUUGUGUGUUGUUGCAUUUUAUAUUUGGUUAACACCCUUCUUAUUAUCCUCCUUUUGAUUGUUUGUUUGUCUUAAUUAGGACAAGGAAGCUAUGAAACUAGAGCAGAUUAAAUCCUCAGUCAAUCUUCCAUUCCACUCAAUUUUUGCAAGAGAUGAACAGUUAAAACCAGUUGAUGUGAUGAAGUCUGAACCAAAUAAGCCUGACAUUCCAUUUCCUUCAUCUUUUGGUAGUGGGCAACAAACGAAACCAAUCAUAGAGGAAUCCAAUAGAGUUACAGUAGUUUCCCAAUCAGAAGAACCCGCUCCGGCUGCUAGGUCUGAUACAGAAGAUAUUAUUACGUUGGAAGAUGAUAUAGAUGAAGAGGAACAAAACCUUGGUAAUUUGGAAACUGCAAGUGCGCCCGGAGAGGACGGUUCUGCAGGGUCUGCUUUGGAAAUGGGUAAACAAGAUGAGACCAUGUCUCUCUCUGAUUUAUCAACUAGUUUCCAGGAGUGCUUCCACUCUGCUAACAACAAUAGAAAACCUGGAAAGCCUGAGAGAUCUGAAGAACCUAGUGGUUUUUUGCAGCUUAAGCCGUUUGACUUCGAAGCAGCUAGGAAACAGAUCGAGUUUGGAGAAGAUGCCAAAGAAAAAUCAGCUGGGGUUGAUGGAAACAAAAGAAAACCAGUGAACUCUGGAGAUAAGAAAAAAGUUUCAGCUGUAGAUCAAGCUCAAAAAGAUGAUGGAACAAAAGAACUGUCACAAGGUAGACGACGUUCUGCUUUUCCUGCAACUGGAAAUCGAAGUGCAACAUUUCGCUGAGUCUCUGGUAUCAAUCAUGCUGCUCUGUGUAGCAGAAAUUAGUUGAAUUUUGGAUUUUCACAAUCAUGUUCUUGAUUUAAAUGGAAAUUAAUGCUGGUGGACAAAUUCGCAAUGGUUGUACGUAUAUUUCCAUUGCUUGAGGUCUUGUCUGAUACAGCAUGAGCUAACCUGAUCAUCUUUUGAUAUUCAGUAACAGGAGAGAUGUAUGGUCUGCAGGAGCCAAUGAUGGGCAAGUGAUACCUGAGGCCGGUGUCUAUUUGAAGGUAAAAUGGGCGAUGGUUCUAGGUUUCAUAUUAGGUUUUUGAUAGUCUUGAGUAAUUGCCCUACUAUCUUCAUAUUUAAAAAACAGGAUGGUUUCAAACCAAAGUGCGGUUUGUAAUCAAAAGCAUUUGAUCUUUUUGUUUUUGUAACUUUACGGGUUUUAUUUUUAGAAAAAUGGUUCUGUACUAUGGUUUAUUUCUGCCUUAUUUGAUAUUGUGGUCAUCUUAGGCUUUAUUUAGUGUAAUUUUUCAGUUAUAUGUUCGUUUGGGAAGAGGAAAUGAAGUUAAUUUUAUUUCACACUUGCAUAAGAAAAAAUUGUAAUGUUUAUAUUAUUUUUGUUAAAAUUAUUAUUUAAAAAUUAUAUUUGAUAUCUAUUAAUAAUUUUUAUUAUAAUUAUAAUUUUCUUUUUCCUCCAUCAUCUCAAUUGCUUAUAACUGCUGUUGAGGAUGGUUGGUGCGAUGUUAAUAAUUUGUAAAGGGCUUAGUAACAUCUGGUUCCGUGAUGUCGGCCAAACCAUAUCGAAGGGCUUAAUUUGACGGUCAUCGGGGCCUCCUGCCCAGCUGCCCUCCUUUACGGAUUCCGCUUCCGCAAAUUAUUUUAUAUAAACUGUUGUUACAUGAUAGUGGUGGCCGGAUGAAAAUACUACAUGACCAUAUAAUGCUUUCGGUGCAAUGAGUGAAAAAGAGAAAUUUUUAUGUAUUCUCGGAUUGAAGGAGAAAUUUUAAGAUUAAGAUUGUGGAGUGGUAGCAGGAGUAAAUUAUUUACUUACAUCACUAUGAGAGUGUGGAACGAAAAUUAGAAAUUAUGUAUUUUCUUUGUCUUAGAUUGAGAGUGAAUCAUUUUAAAUUAUAAUUUUAUCCUUAUUUAAAGAAUUGUAGUUUUUAAUUAUAAAGUAAAUAAAAAAAUAUAUUUGCACAAUAAAUUAUUUAUUUUGUUAUUAAUUUUAAUUAUAUAAAUUAAUAAUAAUUAUUAUUAUUCUUAAUCAUGUGAAUCAUGAUUUUUUUGUUAAUUUUNNNNNCGUACAGCAGAAAUAAAUAUGAUAUUUUUAUUUUUAAAUAAAUGUGAUAUUAUUUUUAUUUUUAUCAAUAUAAUUAUAUUAUAUUCAAUAAGGAAAUGAUAAAAAGAAAGAAGUGGGAGUAGAUUUCUACUUUUUAUUCAAAAACAAAAAUGAGACCCACAGAGUAGAAGCCUAACUCUCCUCCUUAGAUGAGUACUAAAACGUUUAAGUAGGAGAAAUUCAUAUUUUUGACUCCCACUCUACAAAGUAAACAUAAUAAUAAUAUCAUAAUAACAUUUGAUAAUUCUAUAUAUUUGUGACGUCAUAUCUCAUCAAUUGAUUAAUAAAAUUAAAUGGUGAUUAUUUAUGAAAGAACAAAAUUAAUUCAUGUGAGUUAUGGUUAAUAAAUAAAUAAAAUAUAAAAUGUUAAAUUUUGACUAUAAACUAAUUUCAAUAUCUAAUAAUUUAAAAGCUCAAUAGAGCUAUGAUAAAAACUAAAGGGAGGAUUCUUAAUCCGAUCCGGGAUCUUAAUCAGUUCAGGACCGAUCCACUUCCAGCUAUUACGCGUCAAACAUCCAUUUGACGAUUGACGUGUCACGCCAUCUCACUGUCCUCACAAGAAAACCCGUUACCUUCAAAAUGCUCCAAACCCAUCAACGCCGAAUUCAAAUCAAGCCCCAAGACCAAAUACAAAGCAAAAACAAAUAAACAAACGUCUGUUCAUUCAGUCUGAAAAAAUCAAAAGAAGUAAAAGGAUUGGCGAUGGCGAUGGCGGUUGAAGGAGGAGGGACAUUAUCGGAGAUAUAUCAAAGUGCGAAGAAGUUGCUGUUGAGAGCGAGAGACGGAGUUGAGAAACUGGAGAGACUGGAGAGCUCGACGUCGACUGGGGGAUACGAUUCGCCGGAGCUCUCCUUCGCUGUCAAGAAAGAUAUUUCUCAGAUCCAGUCACUCUGCGUCGAGAUGGAUCGCCUAUGGCGCUCCAUCGCCGACAAGUCUCAGCGCGAUCUCUGGAAGAGGUACCUAUUCAUUUACUGUUUUGCCACGUGGCACCGAAUCAACCUUGUGUCGUGUCCUAAUUGCUCUACGCCAGUUCGGUUGCAAUUCUGUGCAUGAACCGCAAUUUUUAUACUGAAUAUUACAUUAUUGAUUUUGUCUGAGCGACAAGGCAUGCUUCCACGUUUACUUGUUGCUUAGUUUUAUUGUUUUGCCUUCUAUGUUAACAGUCUAUAUAAGUUUUAUAUGUGUUACAGGCAUGUGUAUAUAUGGAAGUACAUUAAUAGCUGUUCAUGCUGUUGCUUGCUUGAGGUCGUUGGUAUAUUUGCAUUUGGAACUAAAUGUGCUUGGUGUGGGUUCGCUAUGUGUGUGUGUGUGUGUGUGUUUGUUUGCGUUUGAUGUUAAAUGGAAUUACCUUCUAUCGAGUCAGUGCCGCAAUUUGAUUGCUUGGUUUUUCAGAGGUGUGUUUUUAUGUUAUGUCAUGCAGAAAAGUUGAACAAGUAGCAGAAGAGGCUGAAUCAUUGAAAGAGAGUCUCGAUAAGUACUUUUUAAGAAAUCAGAGACGGAUAAAUGAAGCUAGAGAGAGGGCGGAAUUGCUUGGAAGAGCUGUAUGUUUAUUCAGUUUUCGUUAGAAGUUUUGAACGGAUUCUGUAGUGUUUUUCUUGUCUGGAAACGAGAAUUAGCUUUCCAAUCUGAUGAAUUUCUUUUAUGUUAUAGAAUGGAGAGUCGUCUCAUAUUUUGAGAAUUUUUGACGAGGAGGCGCAAGCAAUGCAGUCAGUACGCAAUUCAUCGAGGAUGUUGCAAGAAUCGUUUGCAACUGGGACAGCCAUUCUUGCCAAAUAUGCAGAACAAAGGGAGCAUCUAAAGGUAUUGACACUUAAGCUCCUUGUUUACAUGCACAGUUGCACACUAGAAAUUUUUGCCAAGCUCACUCAAACUGUGUGCAAACAAAGUUCACUAAACAGGGUCAAAUGAGAAAUUUACAUUCUUGUCAUGGUUGUAUUCUUAACAUGAUUAAAUAUUUAAAUGAGAACAAUGUUAGAUCCUCAAAGCAAUUAUCUUUAAUAUUGAUUUAUACUACUGCUAUAGAAAUUAUAAGUGUUUGCAGCACCUGCACAAAUGGCUGCAGAGAAUUUAGUCUGUCUAUGGUAAUAAUUUUAAAAGCUGGUAACUCCAAAUAUUCAACAGUGGCUGACAAAAACAAUCCUCAAGUUUUAAAGUAAAAGCAAACUUUGCUUUGAAAUAAUCAGUGACAACAAUGACGUGAAAGUGUCACCAACUGUUUAUAUAUAAUAUCUCCAAUAUUCCAGAAUUUAGUUUCAUAAUGGCUGGCAAAGACUUGGUUUUUUUAAGGUUUAAAGUAAAAACGAUCUCUGCUUUGAAAUGUUCAGUGGCAACAGUGAUGUAAAAUGAUCAGCAACUGUUCAUAUCUAGUAUCUCCAAUGUUUAGAAUUUUGUUUAAAAGAUCCGUUCCAUCCAUAAAAAAAUUUCAUUCUGAAUAAGCAACUCAAGAUUACACUUCGCAAGAACACACCAUCUACCAUUUCUCACAAAUUUAAAUGUCACAACCUAUGAUCCAUUACCAAUUGUGAGAAACGGCAGAUUAUUUGUUCUAAUGAAGUGUAAUUUGAGUUGCUUAUUUAAAAUGAAAUUCUUUUAUGGGUAGAAGGGAACUUCUAAACGAAGUUCUAGGAAUCAAAUUAGCUGUUUAGAUUUGAAUAGUUGGUGAUGCUUUGAUGUCACUGUUGCCACUGAUUCUUCUCGAAAAGAAACAGAUUUUUAAAUGGUAUUAUAGAGGUCACAGAAAAAAAAUAGUCAUGCUAUCAUUGAUAGCACUUGCCACUGAUGUUGAUAAUGAGUUUAACUGAUUAACUUCCAUCUUUGGUUCAGAAAGCACAAAGGAAAGCUCUGGAUGUUCUCAACACUGUGGGUCUGUCCAAUUCAGUAUUGAGGCUCAUUGAGAGGAGGAACCGUGUCGAUACAUGGAUCAAAUACGUAGGAAUGGUUUCUACAGUGGUCAUCUUAUAUUUCUUCUGGAGGUGGACUAGGUGAUCCGAUCUUCAUACUUAGCCACGCAUAGAUCAUUAAUCCGCAUACUUUGGAAUGAUUAAGUUUUGUUCUUGAUAUUUGCCCCAUAAGAGGGUUAAUGAGGAUGUACAAGGCAUUCUUUGAUGAGAGACUAUCCUCUUAUGAGGAUGUAUAAAGCAUUCUUUGUUAAGAGACUAACUCGUAUAGGACGGACUCCCAAAGAAGGUUCUUUGCAAUUCUUGAACAUUUAGAGCGAAGUUGACGAAACGUGCUAGUUGUUUUUGUAUUUUGGCAAAAGGGGAAUUACAGAGUUCGAAGAUUCUAAGAAAUGCGCCAAUUUUGUUUUGUUGUCAGAACGCAAAAACGGCCUGAUUGUGGACGGUUAAAUCCGGAAUUAUGUAGUGGAUUUGCAGUUAUUGAAGGGCAUGCUUGGGAAAAUAAUAUGGUCAAAUAAAAUCAAGAACAAUUAUAUUGUAUCUGCUGUUUAUGCGUCCGUACUUGAAGGUGUCCACGUGGCUGGUGUGUGUUUGUUAAACCAGUAAAAUUAAGUAGUGCGAAGUUCUGAUCGCCGCUCAUUGAUUGUUUUUUUUUUUAACUUUAAAUAAACUAUGAGAAAAGGCUUUGAAUGAGUCGCAGAUAAAUUAAAGUUUUUUUUUUCUUCUUCUAAAUUUAUAUCCAAUGGUUCGGCACAUGUUAUUUUCUUUAUUUUUAGUGCACACGGUAAACUAUUGAUAGUAUUUGGUGUAAACUCACUUUCAAAUCGAUGCUUCACGAAAAGUCCAAAUGACGCGCUAUGAAAGUAAUAUAGAUAACUAGGAUAAGUGGAAAUGAUAAACGAAUAAAAUGAAGUAAAAAGAAUUUUUCAUUUUUAAGGGUUACAAAAUAAGAAUAGUUAAUUACUUAAUUAGUUGACUUGCUAAAAAUUUUUCAUGCAAACAAAUGGUCUGGACUGGAAUCCGUUUAAAUGGAUAGGAAGAAAAUUAGAGUGUCGUAAAAGUACUGGAGUUUCAAAUCCCCUCACGUAGUCACAAGGAUUAGAAGAAAAUUGAAUUGUUAGGCAAAAUGAAAAAAAAGAAAAAAGCUUAACAUUUUUAUUUUCUAAAAAAAUGUUUUUCUUAGUUGUUUUGUUUUUUAAUUUUAAAUAUAUUUAAAAUUUUGAAAUUAAUAAAUGACUUUGAAAACUUGAGUGUGCUCGAGCCUCGAGAUCUACUCAAAUUCUUUUACAUUAUUACAUUAUGAAAAAUUGUAUGAUGUCGUGAUUAAACUAUUGUAUCAAUACUAUGAUAAACAUAAAUUUUAGAAAUUAUAUAUAAGACUAGUAAGUGAAAUGUAAAAUAAAUUAAUUAAUAUAAGAGUGGUAAAUAAUGUUUUAAAAUUAUAAACAAAACAAACACUUAUAAAAAUAACAUAAAAAUUAUAAAUCAACAUUAAAUUUUAAUGUAAAAAUAGUUUAUUUAUUUAAUUUAUUCAAGCAAAGAAAAACUUUACUCAUCAAUUGAAAACAAAAAUUUUGUAUUGAAAACAAUGGGAAUAAGUUUUAUUAAUUGAUUUAACCAUGAAUUUUAUAUUCAUGUCAGGAUAUUUAUAAACUGUUUUUUUUUUUCAUUUUCUAUCAUAGUAUUUGUUUACUAUACAAGUUGAUUAAGUAAACUUAUUAUUAUUAUUAGUAUUAUUAUUAUUAUUUAUGUGGAUCAAGCCAAAACAAAAUAAAAAUACAUUUGAAUAUUACUAGACAUAUAUGGAAUAUUAAUACAAUUGAAUCUAACUUUCAGUUUUAUACAUAAUUCAUCUAGUUUCAAAUUUUACUUCUUAUACUAAAAGAUCAUUUGAGGUUGCUAUCGAGGAGGUUUAAAAUGAUGCAAAAUCACUUAUAUCACAAAUAAAAUAUGAAAAAAAAUUUCUAAAAUUUGAUUUUGAGAGUAAGUUUUAUCCUUAAUAAAAUUCCACAUAUAUUAUCACGUCUAUUACAUAACCACAGAAUUAUCAUUAUUUGAUUUAGAAAUAAAAAUAGUAAAUAUAUAAUGUAAUCAUUAUUAUAGUGAGUUUUUAUUUAUUUUUUCAAUAACUCUUAUAAUAUUUACUUAUUUUACAUUCAUUUACAACUCUUCUAUUUUACUUUUAUAAUUUAUAUGUUAUUUUACACUUAAUGUUGAUGUACAAGUUUUAUAUCACAUUUGUAAACAAGUUUUACUUUAUAUUUACAUGUAUUAUGUUUUAUUUACUUAAUUCAUGUUUUAUUUUAUACUUAAUGUUGAUUUACAAGUUUUAUAUUAUAUUGAUAUAAGUUUUUAUUUUAUUUACUAAUGAUAUAUCAACUUACCACUGUUAAUUUACUUAUUUUACCUUCAAUUUGCAAGUCUUGUGUUUCAUUUACAUAAUUUAUUAUGUUUUAUUUUACGUUUAAUGUUGAUUUACAAGUUUUAUGUUAAAUUUACACCUCUUAUAUUUUAUUUACACAAUUUAUGUUCAAUUAUAGUAUAUUAUAGAAUGACUCAUUUGACAUUACAAUACAAAAUUAUAAACAUAAAUAGAUGUAUCAAAAAGUCUUGUCGAAAAAUGAAUCCACCUUAAUACGGACCUGUCUCAUUGUUUUAUAAUUAAAGUUGCACACUCUUACAAUGAACUUGAAGAAAUUGAAUUCUCAACAUCAAUAAUGAGGUGUCUAUUACUAAUAAUAGUUUAUAAAAAAAAUAAAAAAAAUAAAGAAAUAUGAUUAAAUUGAUCAAUGUAAUUUUAUUAAAAAAAAGAAGCAUUUUUAUUACAAAAGCAAUCUCAAAAUAUAUAUUUUUUGUAGUUACAAAAAAUCAUGACCUAGUGGCGACCUAGUGGCGACCUGGUGGGCGUAUAUACAAAAAUCAUAAUAUUUUUAUACUGAUUACAUAAAUUCGGUGAUCACAGACCACAGUAAAACCCUGAAACCGCCCAACGGGGUUCUUUACCAGAGGAAAAAAGGGAGGAAAGAAAAUGACUUUUUAAUAUAACGGCACGGGUUUAAGCCAAAAACGGUGGAAUCAAAUCAUUGACACGUUCGUGCGAUGCCUUCACUCCUCAGGCAAACCAGACUCCCGCAUGUGAAUGCCACGUGAACGUAGCUUCUUCACAUAAUUUUUACCCCAAUGUCCAAAUUACCCCUUAUCUUUUACUCCUUUUUUUUUCUUUUUAACUUUGCCCGAUUUUGAAGUCUAUUACGUAUUGCGGACUGCUGCCCUCGCUUGACGUGUUUUUUCUCCUUUUUUUUUUUUUUCCCUCUCCAAACUAUUCUUUUCAAUUUUAACUAAAUAAUUUUUUUUUUUAUUACGAACAUCAACUUAAAAUUUAGGUUAGUUAGACACUUCCCCACUUCAUCCUUAAAGUCAAGUAUUCAUAUCUAUCUGUCUAUGGUGAAUAAUUUUUUUUAUUUUUUAAACUACGAACAAGUUAUCUUUUUUUUUUUUCUUUUCCAAUAUCACUAUUUAUCCACUUUUAGUUUAAUUCUUUCUGCCUAAGAUGAUCAAUUUAAAUUAAAAAUGGGAUUUUGAAAUUAUUUACUAAAAAUCAUGAUUGUUCUUUUGACGUAUUUGAAUAAAGUUUAUUUGGAAAAAUUAAUGUAAAAAAAAAAAAUGUUGGAAGAUUACGACAAUGGAAAUGUAGUCUCUGGUGAAAUGCUCUGAUUCAAUCAAUCAUCAGCAAAUGCGGUUCGCACGUUGGCAAUGGAACUCGUGAUAGCACAACCGUGAAAUGUCCUUCAUUUGGGAGUCCACGUUAAUCACAUGUGGGUCCAUCUUGAGUGCUUUUGUGCUUUACAAUUAAAAUAGACAGACAGGCUGAUGACCUGACAAUUUCGAGCCUGAUAAAGCCCCUUCAUCAACUUGAUCAGAAGGACAGGACAGCUAUUAAUAGAAAAAAGCAGCAGACUAGUACUAAUCGAGAAGUCAAACAGAUAAAAACUAAAACUAAAUAAUCUAAUCUCCUCCUAAUUCACUAAAUUAUUUUAUUUCUAUUGGUAUAAUUAAUUAAUUGAUUGAUUAAUCAAACAUGCCUUCACAAUUAAAUAGUUUCAACAGUGUAAGUUGAACCACGUGUCAAGCAAAAGCAACCAUCAUUUAUUAUAAUUUUUUUUUAUUUUUUUCGAAAAAGGAAAAAUCAAAAAACAAGGCAAGUUGAUGCCAACAGGAUCUGAUCCGGAAGGGUAACCGAGUCAUUUCGCCGUCAUGCAUGCCUCAAUCCGGAUUGCCUGCCCGCCCCCACGUUGGAAAACCAGGGACGCAUCGAUAAGCAGUUUCAACACCCAAAACACAAACUUGGGGGCGGGAAUUGCAAAACGAAAUAACAGCUUUUGCUUUUGCUUUAAUUUUUUUCCGUUUGUUUUCUUAAAAAGAAAGAAAAAAAAAAAUACUCCCAGUUCCACAAUAGAGCCCCUGGUUUUGCCUAUUUCUUUAAUCCUUUUACGCAGACUCAUGAUAAAUAUCUCCAUCUAUCAGUCAGUCCAUACGGUUUCCUUUCAUCACCAACCCCACCAACGAAAACAAAAAAAACAAAACAAACCCCCUCUUCAGAAAUAUAAUUAUAAUUUUCUUUUUCUAUUGAAUUAAGCUUGUUGGGUAUAAUUUGCUAAUUAAUCAAAGAUCGAUCUAUGACGACGGAAGCGGUCAGCAAGGUUGGAUAUGCGCAUAGUAAGGUUGCUAUGAAGAAGAAGAGCGGUUAUCGAGGUCGAUGCAGGAGAAGAAAUCACGACAGAUAUGCACCCGAUAAUAAAACGGUGCCGAUGGCGCUGCAGCGUCUGUUUCUUUCUUGCAAAGACGUCUUCAGAGGCCCUGGAACCGUUCCCGCUCCUUCUCAUGUCCAAAUGUUGUGCUCUAUUCUUGGUAAGUGUUUUUUUUCUUACACUUCAUCAUUUCUGGUCCAAUUUUCUUGUUUUUCAUUUGGCCGCUGCACUCGCAUGACGUGUAUGUUGUGAAAUCUGAACCCAUCAUCAUCCUUCAUCCAUGCACAUAUAUAUUAUCAGUCAUGAGAAAUUUUGAAUCAGCCAUUAAAAAAAGAAAAAAAAAAAGAAAAGGAAAGAUUCAAUAUUAUCAAAUCAAUACCAUUUUGUUUCAUGAGAUGAUCUAUGAAAGAUGGGAAAGGAGCACUGCUCCUUAUUUCAUUUCCUGUCACGUCUGUGUUUCAAUCAAUUGUAAUAAUACAUAUAGCCACGUAAAAAGCAAGGGGCAAUACUCUUUACAGCACGAAAACCUUCUCAAAAAAGGGGCUUUACUUUAUUGGCAGUAAUGAAUUGUUUUGAGCAAUUCAAUUCAUCAGUGCACUUAUCAUGUUUACGUAGUUUGUCAAUUUGGUUCCAGUUUUUGGUUCUUUUUAUUGGAUUCAGUGCCGAAAUGUCAUGUGUGUUCAUAGGACGUACUGGGAAAAGGAUUAGAAAUCUGUACUGAAUUUUUUUAAAUUUUGGGGGGGGGUUUUUUUUUGGGGUGGAUGGGGUUAUGGAUCUAAGUGGAUGGUACCAAUUUUCAAAAAUGUAGUUUAAUUAACUUUCCAGUUGAAAUUACAAAACCAAACCAUCCGAAAUGGAUUCUUCGAGAAAAGGUGGGUUCAGAAAACAAAGUGGUUGCUUCUAGGUGAAUCCAGAUUUUUUUCACGCGGACACAUGGUACCUUUUGGUUGAUUACCCAGCCACAGUGUUGCUUGAGGGGACAAAAAUAUCAUAUUUGUUUUUUUUUUUUUUUCCAAAUUCCUUUUUAAUUCGUAACUCAAUCUCAUGGGAUCCUACUCAGCAGCCAUUGUGAUUAUUUUUUUUACCUGACGACGCAAAAAUCUUUGCAUUAGAAAGGAUACAUAAGCACAUUUGCCUACUGUUGCUACGUGUACAUGUGCAAUGGUUUGGUUGCAAAACUGGAAGCAUUGGCACAUUAUAUAUAUGUGUGUUUUUUUUUUUUUAAUAUGUAUAAAUGCAUGGAUCAUGACACUUGGCUAAGUUAAAAUUUCCAUUUUCUCGUUAUCAUAAAGAUUGCCAGUGACUCAAACAAGCUUUUCUUUUUAAAUUUAUGAUGCUACAGAUGAAAUGAAGCCAGAGGAUGUUGGGCUUAGCAGUAAGUUACAGUUACUUAGUGCCAAAGAUGCAAUGAAAGGGACGCCAAUUGUCACAUCCACUACAAUAUACAAAUGCCAGAACUUUUCGGUAAAGACAUAAGCUAUUCAUAUUGGGCUAAAUUAAAUUCUUUUAUUAUCGUAUACUAAUUUGUAAACCAUACUAAUUAAUAGUGCAAAUUUGAUUUAGAACUUGAUAGAUUACCUUUUGGAUUCUCUUUUGUGCAGUUGUGUCUUUUCUUUCUUCCUCCAACUGCUGUGAUCCCCUUGCACAACCAUCCGGGAAUGACUGUUUUUAGCAAGCUUUUGCUCGGGACAAUGCACAUAAAAUCGUACGAUUGGGUCGAUCCUGUUGACGCAAACGAUUCUGCAGCCCCCACAAAACGUGAGUACCGCUUACCUUAUACAUAUAUGUCCAUGUAUAAUGCACACACGAACACACACACACACACACUCACAUAUCAAAACAACACGAUAACUUGAAUGUGCUAGCUCGGACUAGGAUGAUCAUUUGUGACUGAAAGUGAUGAUUUAAUUAAUUUGCAGCGCGAUUGGCGAAGUUGAUAGCCGACAGUGAUUUCACAGCACCUUGCAACACUUCUGUGCUAUAUCCAACAACAGGAGGCAAUAUCCAUGAAUUCACAGCCAUUACGACAUGUGCCGUGCUCGAUGUGCUUGGACCUCCCUACUCUAAGGACGAUGGUCGGGACUGCUCAUAUUACAAGGAGUUGCCACUUCCCGCGGUUCCAAGUAAGCGAAACAAAACCACUUGUUACUGAUUAAAAACAACCUCGUUUAAACCUCCUCGAGUAGCGCUUUCAGAGGUCUUACCAAUUAAACCCACCGAUUUUGUUAAUGCAGAUGGAGAGAAUCAGGAGGCAAAAGAGGAUGAUGGUGGUGAGAGUUGUAGGUGGUUGGAAGAGAUUGGGGUGCCAGAGAACUCACACAUGGAUGAAAUUGAGUACUUGGGACCGCAGAUAAUUGAGUAGUAGCUGUAACUAGCUUCAGCCCACAGUCGCGUGAUAAAAAAAAAUUUCAACGCAUUAUCUUCUUUUGUUUCAUAGCUAGUCAAUGGUUUUGUAUUUAUAUAUACACAUAUAUUACGUUGUUUCCUGACCUGAGUUUUCACUAUGUUAAUAGCAAAAUUUCAUUUCUUUUUCUUUUUUCUCUUUAAUCCCGGUAUCUUCUUUAAUAACUUGAUUACUUGAGUACACUGUACCAUUGAAAUCAUGGUUCAUGCCAUAGUUCCCUUAGAGGAAGGUCCAAACCCGGCUUAGGAGAAAUGGAGGUUUGGGCUGUCGAGGGCCUUGGUGUUGCUAUGUUCCCAAGAGAUGUUUACUUGGGCUGUCGAGCGCGCCGAGAAGUGCUUAAUAUUACAUCAAUGGGCCGGGCUUGUAACCGACUACUACACAUUCCCAUGGCGGCAAUCCUGAUCAGUAAUUAACUUGGGAUUUUGCAUUCAAUGAUUGCCACAAUAAUAUCAGCAAACUUUUCAGAAGAACCUUAAUUGAUAAUUGUCAUUUUGCAAUCAUAGGUUAGUUGAUGGAUAUACCAUGGGCCCUGAAAAUUAAUUAAAAUAUCAAACAUUGUAUGCUCCUAGGUUGGAAAUUUUUCAAAAUUUUCAAUAGAAAAAUAACCUCAAAAUCAAUAUUUUACAUGUGAAGAUCUGUUUCAUUAACAAGCGCGAUGGGCCAAACGGAGGGAGCCAGGAAUUUUAAGCUGUUCAUAUUUGACGCCCUAAUUUGGGAUUUGCUAAUACGGAAAAACUUUGAGCUGCUCACUAAUUUAUAUCUUGACUUCGAGAAUCUGCGCAAUUACUAAUUAGUAGCCAUCAAUAAUUGUCAAAAAUCAAUUUUGAAUUUCGAUAUUUUUGAAUGCAUUGGUGUUACGUGUUUCUCCAUACGCGUUAGUAAAUUUGAGAUGGUGUAAAUUUGUAAUAAACUAAUAAUAUCUUCUUUUUUUUAUAAUUUGAAAAUCAACCCAAUCUGAUUCUCUAAAUUAACAAGAUCAAAUUGACUAUCCAAUGUUCAUUCACUAGGAAAGUCCUAAAGGUCCCUCUAAACUAGAAAGUUACUCAAAUCUAUGGCCAAAAUAAAGUCUUCUUAUAAUUAAAGAAACAACCCAUCUUUUUUUAAGAUCUUCUGACAAUGAAUUUUCAAUUAUGAUGGGGUUUGAAGUUUUGAAAUUUUCUAAGAAUUAUUAACAACUGAAAAGAGAAAGCAAAAGAAAAAGGACGAUGUGAUAUGGCAUGGGACAUGGACUUCCCACCACCUUUACAUUGCCAUCAUGCAAAAAAAAAGCUCUCAAUUUUAUGCUUAGCUUGUUCUUGUUUUCUUUCUUUUAUCACUUCUUUAUUACGUGGGUCUUGAAUUCUCAAUAGUUUCUAAUUGUUAAAAAACUCCAUGAAAAUUGCUUUCCCUAUUGUAAUACCUCCAUUAAGGAGAAUGAAGGGUUAAAAAUGUACCGACAGAUACUGGAAAAUUAUUGAAUGAAGUAAUCAACAUGAUUGUUCACUGACAAUAUUAUAUUCGGAAUAAUGAUAGCUGGUUGUUUUGGAUUGUUUUAGAUGUUGUAUUAGCCAAUUAGGCAUAUUGGUAUAUAUUAUUAUUAUAUGAAAUACUAUUGCCUUUUUUAUUAGCAAAAGACUUUCGGUUAAGAUUUUGCUUAAUUACACGAUUGCAUCGUGAUUGUUUUUAAGCUUCAUCAUUCAAUUCCAAAACUUAACGUAACAAAAGAUCUUACUAACAAUACUAUUUUAAUACCCAUUUUUUUCCCAGUCACGUGAGUGUAUAUGAUCUCCAUAUCUUUGGUACUAUAUCUAAAAAAUUUUUCCAAUCAAAUUAAUUAACACCCGCAGCUACAUUUAAGCAAAUUGUUCUAAGCCGCUAGGGUUUAAUCUAGUAGUUAAAACACAACCCUUACAAUUGUGAGAUUAUGCGUUCGAACCCUCACAACAAUACAUUGUGGGGGUUUAAUUUUCUUCUCUAAUUUGAGUGAAAGCAGUCUCAUAAAAAUAUGGAUUGUGCUUGUCCCAAAAUUAUUUAAUUAUAAAUAUCAGUAUACUAAUCUCAUAAAAUAUAAGUAAAUACGAGUUGGAAUAUGAUCAAUAAUGUCAUAUAAUUUUUUUUAUUUAAAAAAAAAAAAGCAAAGUGCUAUGCAAUCCACUUGAUAUUACGACAAUAACUGGCACACUAAUGAACAACUAGUAAAUUCAUUUUAAAAGAAAUAACACCCCAAAUCAUUAAUAUUUAAAAAGAAUCAUUUGAAAAAAUCUUAAAAAGUGUUCGGCAAUCCACUUGUCAUUGUAACAAUCACUCACACGCCACUGAUCAACUUUAGUUUCAUUCAGUAUGCCGAGAAAUAGAAUUUAAAAAUAACAACACCUCAAAAUCAUACAUAUUUGAGAAGAAUCACAUGAAAAUUGAGCAGGUCAAAUAGUUGUGUAUAGAACAAAUUUUUUCAUGAGACAGGCUGGAUAGCAAGAAAUGGAAGCCAACUGUGAGUUUCGGUCUUUCAUAGAAUUUGGCCUAACGUUGUCACAUUCACUAUUCACGUACCCAUAUUAUCAUCAUCCCAGUGGGCACUGGCACUGCUGAGUGCUGACCCAAUAGAACAAAAUAAUAAUAAUAAUAAUAAUUCCCACUUGCUCAAUAUUUUAUUCUUUUCAUUUUAAUUGUCAUUUUCCCAAGUAAAUAAAAACCUUUUAUGCAAUUAAUUCUGCUUGUCGGGUGGAUGAGGUGGUUCAUCACGUUCAAAUGUUCAAUCAAUGACAAUUUUAUCGCAAAUUCCAUUGCUUAUAAUUGUUGUAACCAAACAAAUCCCUGGUGCCUGCACUAACACCUUAGCUUCAUUUUCAAUUAAGGCGGUUUUCAACAACUUAUUAACUUUAUUUUUAAAGAAAAAGAAAUCCCAAGUGUUUUUCUCACUAAUUGAUUGCUUAAAAAUACUUAAGAAAAUUACCCACAAAUAAAUUAACGAUAAACAUUUAGUACUAGCUUAUGAUUUUUUUGGGGGGGGGGGGGUUUCUAAUAAAAUUUGGAUUAUUUGGGUUUUAUAUUUGAGAAAAGUUAAGUUACGACGAUCGAUAAUUAUAUACCCUUAAAUAAUUAUUAUCUAAUUUGGAUAUUUUUAUAUCUUAAUGAGUUCGUGUUGAUUUGCCAAUCUUACAAGUCUUUAUUUUACAAAAUAUAGAUAUUUAGAUUGAAAAAAACAUAUAUAUAUAUGUAUGACAGUAUGAGUAGUGUAUAUGUUACAAGAUAUUUUAAAAUUUAAUACUUUAGUUGAGAAAUGCCAUCACCCUCAACUACUCGGUUACAAGAAUAUUAUUGCGUUAUUUAAUAUUCUGUUAUCGAUUGCUUUAUUAGGAAGAAAUAAUGAAAAAUGGGACAUCCAUUGCUAAAGUACAACACAACAUUGUUGACAAGUGAGUCCCCCUUGAAGUGACAACUAUUUUUUUUCUUCCUUAAUAAAGGACGAGCUAUGUGUAUGUGGUUUUGCCGUGCAACCCAAGUUUCAAUGUCUGUAUCAUUUAUAGGGGGAAACCUUAGGUGCAACCCACACACGCCACUCGGCUUUUGGCAGCCUGGUUGAGAGGGCAGCAGUUAUUUUUGUGGGGGCUAAAACAUUCAUUCUUUUUUUCUUUUGUAAUUUUUCAUCUGUGAGGAUUAUUUGUCAAUAUAGAAAUUUGAUACUGUAAUCAAUAUUAAAAAAAAAAAAAAAAGUACCCACACAUACACACAUAUAUCUAAGAAAAUAAAUGAUGAAUACUAUGUAAGAGAAAAUUUGGUAGUUACAGGGUGAACACUUUCUUAUCAAAAUAAUAAUAAUAUAAUAAAUUAGAGACCCUCCUGAAUAUUUCCAACAUGCUUCUCAAAUUGCAUGAGUGUUGGAUUCAUCAACUUAUUAUUAUUAUUAUUAUUAUUAUUAUUAUUAUUUUAUCAUCAAUUGAUGUGCAAAAGGGUGAUGUUAUCAGUUAUCACGGCCUCCUGAGAAAAAAAAAAACUUUAAAUUCAACGUGAAAUGAAAAAUGUAAGGAAUCAAAUCGAAUUGUCAAAAUGAAAUGAGAGGCGAACAAUUUAACUGUUCAGAAAAGAAGCAAAGGCGCCAAAAGCAACGGACGGAACAUAAAAGUGGGUCCCACGUUUCAAAGGGACAAAACCAGAGAAAGCCAAAGCCCACCCCGCAACGAAAGUGAUGCCAAAGCUUACAAUUUGUAUUACCUUAAAAAUUCUGUUCGGUUCAUUUAAAUUUUAUUAUAAAAUCAUUUUCAAAAUUCCAAAUUUUAUAACCAAAAAAUUCGCUGCAUGCAGCGAGAAAGCAGCAAGUGAAGAAUAAAGGGUUCCCCCCGUCAGCAAGAAUCUUUUCUUUUUUUUUUUCGCUUUUUUUUUUCCCUUUGUUUUUUAAGAAAGCAAAAAUUAAGAGAGCAUUAGUUUUGCUGUCAUGAUAAGUAUGGUGUUCAAGAGAGUGUCGGCUAGUGGGAAGUGUUUUGUCAUUCAGUCAUUGUGUUUGCAAUUUUCUUAUGAACCCGUGUCAAUAAAAUGUCUUGGCUUGUGAACAGAAACUGAAAUUGAGCUUCUUUGUGUGUCAGUGAGAUUUACAGUGUCUGUGCAUUGAAUGUAUGGUUGCUAAAUUUUUGCUUUUUUCUUCUUCUUCUUUUCUUUUUUCCCCCCGAAGUGGAUAGUCAAGAAAUAUGAAGAGAUUAUGACUUGAGAUUUUUUUUUAUUUUAUUUGAAGUGAUGAUCUGAAUUAACUGGGCUUUGGUUUCUAUGGUAGAAGUUUUGUUCUAUUUUGUGAGGGGAUUUCUUCAUGAGUUAGGCAAGGAAUUAAUUCGUUUUGAAGUUAGAAUUUAUGUGUUCAAAGUUAGUUUCAAGUGACCUUUCUAAAGUCUUUAAGGUAUAUUGUUGGAAAUUAGCUGGCUUUUUUGUUCAAUCAGUCUCUCAAGAGGUAAGCUCCUUAUGAUCCUUUAGAAGUUUUUAGUUAUGAUAAUGUCGAUUGAUAAAUUAUCUGUAAUUUGUAUAAUAUUUGCAGAGUUUCUGUUGAUCUUGGGAGCUGGCGCUUCUGUAAUUGAGAAGCUAGAGGCAUCACUCUGUUAUCCCAGCGGAUUUUUAAAAGCUCUAGAAUCCCUUUGUGAUUUUCUCUAGUGUUCCUUUUUGUAUGCAUUGAUGGCAAGAGCAUCCAGAUUCAGUCAGUGUGCACUUCUGGUGCUUGCUUACAUUUUGCUUCAGGUCAAUCAUUCGGAGCAACUGCAGUCUUCUCAGGCUCAGACCCUUUUGAGGAUUCAAGGGCUUUUAAACAAUCCAACUGUUUUAAGCAGCUGGAAUAUCACCACUGAGUUCUGCAAUACAGAACCAACCUCGUCUUUAACUGUAGUAUGCUACGAAGAGAGCAUAACCCAGCUGCAUAUAGUCGGCAACAAGAGAGCUCCUACGUUGCCUCUAAGCUUUUCCAUGGAUUCCUUUGUGACGACUCUUGUUAAGCUUCCGGACUUGAAAGUCCUCAGGCUGGUUUCUCUAGGUCUAUGGGGUCCCUUGUCUGGUAAAAUUUCACGUUUAUCGUCACUGGAAAUACUUAAUAUGAGCUCAAAUUUCCUGAAUGGUUCUGUACCUCAGGAGCUUUCAAUUUUAACUAGCCUUCAAACACUCAUACUUGAUGAAAACAUGCUUGCUGGUCGGGUUCCAGAUUGGUUGGGUUCAUUACCGAUUUUGGCUGUUUUGAGCUUGAGGAAUAAUAUGUUCAAUGGGACUUUGCCUGAUUCGUUUAGUUACUUGGAGAAUCUUAGAGUUCUUGCGCUUUCAAACAAUCACUUUUACGGAGAAGUUCCUGACUUCAGUGGUUUGACUUACCUUCAAGUACUUGACUUGGAAAAUAAUGCUUUGGGACCUCAGUUUCCUAAAGUUGGCAAAAAGUUGGUUACAAUGAUACUGAGCAAAAACAAGUUCAGGUCUGCCAUUCCUGCUGAAGUGAGUUCCUAUUAUCAGCUUCAGCGGCUAGAUCUCUCAUCUAAUAGAUUUGUUGGACCAUUCCCUCAAGCACUUUUAUCCUUACCUUCUAUUACUUAUUUGAAUAUUGCUGAUAACAAACUCACGGGGAAGCUUUUCGAUGAUCUUUCUUGCAAUCCCGAACUUGGAUUUGUGGACUUGUCAUCAAAUCUGCUGACUGGACAGUUGCCGGAUUGUCUACUUGCAGGUUCUAAAAACAGGGUUGUCCUGUAUGCUAGAAAUUGUCUAGCAGCUGGAAAUGAAAAUCAACACCCGCUUUCCUUUUGUCAGAAUGAGGCUUUGGCAGUGGGAAUUUUACCUCUGCAAAAGAAGCAGAAACAAGUUUCCAAAGCAGUUCUUGCGUUGAGUAUAAUAGGAGGAAUUAUUGGGGGAAUCUCACUUUUUGUGAUUGCUUUCUUGCUUGUUAGGAGAACUAAGUCCAAGCAAACAAUGAAGAAGACUCCAACAAGAGUAAUUCAAGAAAAUGCUUCAACUGGGUACACCUCGAAGUUCCUCUCAGAUGCAAGUAAGGCUUCAUCUCCCCUUAAUCCCCCUGCCAAGUAAUUCCCAUUCUGUGUUUCUGUUGAAAUCAAGCAUGAAUCUGGGCACACCUCAAAGCUGCUACUGGAGUCAUGCAUUGUGCAAGCUUUAAUGUAUUUAUGCAUGUGUCCACACACAAUGUAGUGUUGCAUUUUUAGGACAUAGGACCGUAAGUUUUAAUUGAAAGGUUGUCUUUGAAUACUCUAUUUUGAUCAUCCAACUUGAAGCCCUCACAUAGAAAUUAUUGACCAGUCAGUUGCAAGAAAUCGAGUGAUGAUUGUGUUCUUGUCUUAAAGCCAGUUAAUAAUAUUCUUGAACUGUUAAAUUGUUGUCCAAGUUUUAAGCUAUAUUAAAAUUGACCAUAUGAUCGUUUGUGCCCCCUGAAGGGUAUAUUUCUCAAACAAUGAAGUUGGGAGCACUUGGUCUUCCAGCUUAUCGAACCUUUUCCUUGGAAGAGCUUGAGGAAGCUACAAACAACUUCGACACCUCUGCUUUCAUGGGUGAAGGUUCUAAAGGGCAGGUAUGCUACUCUGGUACAAUAUAUAUAUGAUGCCUACUUUCAUGUCGCAAUGAUGCACAGUAUGACAGUUCUGACAAUUUGUAUUUUCCCUUUGCGUGAUCCGUUCAAAGAACGGAAAAGGAAAAGUUGGUCCAGCAUUUCUCUACACCUCACAUAUUUCAUGCUUGCAGAUGUACAGGGGUCGCCUGAAGAAUGGUACCUUCAUUGCCAUUAGGUGCCUUAAAAUGAAAAAAAGCCACAGCACUCGAAACUUCAUGCACCAUAUAGAGCUGAUAUCAAAACUCAGACAUUGUCAUUUAGUCAGUGCUCUUGGACACUGCUUUGAAUGCUACUUUGAUGAUUCAAGUGUUAGCAGAAUAUUUCUCAUCUUCGAAUACGUUCCAAACGGCACACUAAGGAGCUGGAUAUCUGGUAAUUCAUGAAAAUCUUUAAUUCGUUUCUCAGGGUGGAGGAUAUAAAGUAAUUAAAGCCACUCUUUUGUACUCCUCUGCUCUAUAAGCCGGCUUUAUGGGGUCUUCAAAAGUAGCUGUGAAUUUUUUAACCUUGAUCCUGCGUGUAGUCAUUGAAUAAAGUAAUCAAUCAGUCUAGAUAGUUCAGUUUCCUGCAAGUAAUUAAUUUACUUAAAGAGAAUAAUUCGUGGUUUUUAAAAUAUAUUGUUCAAAGUCAUCAAGAAAAGACCGAAUCGGAAUCAUGUUCCAUAGUAAUCACAAGAAAUUACUAUUUUAUGUCCUCCAUCCUGACUUGUUGUUAUAUCCAGUUAAUCAAAUUAUGCCUUUAUGUUCUGGCUGGUUUCAAAGUCUUAGAUACUUUUAUGCAGAAGGGCAUGCCUGGCAAUCACUUACUUGGACACAACGUAUAUCAGCUGCAAUAGGGGUGGCAAGGGGCAUACAAUUUUUACAUACAGGGAUUGUGCCUGGUGUAUUUUCAAAUAAUUUGAAAAUAACAGACAUUCUACUAGAUCAGAACCUUGUUGCAAAAAUUAGCAGUUAUAACCUGCCUUUAUUAGCAGAAAAUGCCGAGAAGGUAAAAAGGAGAGAAUCUUCCUUUUCAUCAUUCUGUCCAUCUUUUCCAGUGCCAUGCACUUUUCAGUUGAUUUGUAGCUUGCUUCAUCUGUGCAGGUUGGUCAUGUAACCCCUUAUUCUGGAUCCAUAAAUCCUACAAAUAGUGCAAGGUAGGUAAUUGCUUCAAUAGUCUGACAAAUGUUGUUGCAGUUCAUUAGAAAUAUUAAAAAAUAGGGAUAUUAUCAUUUUUCCACCAAAGGUAUUCUGACACAUCAUGUCAGUACCACGGUUUAGUAAAACUAUCAAUUUACCACCAAACAUUUAAACUGUUAGCAUUUUCUCACCAUUCCGUUAAAACUCAGUUAAUAUGUAAUGAAAAUUUUCUAAAAGGUCAAUUUUACCCCUGGAGCAUAAAAGACCAUGUAAUUAACUUUUUAUGAAUUUUGUAAUUAAAUCAUCAUUUAUUGUUCUUCCUUCUUAAAGGACAAAAAUUACCCUUUAUGAAUUUUGUAAAAUUGACCGUGUGGUGUUAGGUAAUUCAUAAAUUGAUUUAAUUUAUUUAAUUUUUAAAGGGCAAAUUUAUUUAUUUAAUUUUUUGUGUAAAAUUAUUAUCAUCAUAUCAAAGAUUAAAUUGCUUCUUUUGCACUUUUUUUUUUUUUUGCCCUUUCAUAAAUUGAGUUUUAGUAGUAUAAUAAAUUGUCUUUAGCUCGUCAAUUUAAUAAAUAAAUUUGCCCUUUAAAAAUUAAAUCAAUUUAUGAAGUACCUAGCACCACACGGUCAAUUUUACAAAAUUUAUAAAGGGUAAUUUUUGUCCUUUAAGAAGGAAGAACAACAAAUGAUGAUUUAAUUAUAAAAUUCAUAAAAGGUUAAUUACAUAGUCUUUUACGCUCCAGGGUAAAAUUGACAUUUUAUAAAUUUUCUGUUACAUAUUAAUUGAGUUUUAACGGAAUGGUGGGAAAAUGCUAACAGUUUAAACGUUUGAUGGUAAAUUGAUAGUUUUACCAAACCAUGGUACUGACAUGAUGUGUCAGAAUACCUUUAGUGGGAAAAUGAUAAUAUCCCUAAAAAAUAAAAGGAAAAACUAAAAAGGAAGCCUUAACGGGCAACUAAAAUUGCUAAAAAGAAUAUGUUGGGUAUAAACGUAUAAGAUCAUGCACUAAUAAAUCAUGCUGCAUGAAUAUCUACUGCUAUGAGAAAAUAAGUGAUGACAAUCUUCAAAUUUCCUCUAGUUUCUGCUCUUAGAAUUUUCUAGUCAUACAAUUCUACCAAAACAAAUUCAUUCUGAUUUAAAUUGAUGUAAGAACUGUUCUCUCUACACUCUCUUAUUUGGCAGGGGGAAACUUGAAGAUAAGAUUGACAUUUAUGACUUUGGAUUAAUUUUACUAGAAAUUAUUGUUGGGAGGCCAUUAAAAUCCAGGAAAGAAGUGGAUCUUCUGAAAAAUCAGGUAAUGGUUCUGCUUGUUUACAUUACUUUCUUUCAAAAAUCUUUCAUAUCCAUUCUUCUUUCUCAGUCAUCAUGUGAAGAGUUCAGAAUGCCGUGGAAAUUUGAUCACUCUUUGGUGCACAGCUAACACAGUAACACCCUAGGAUUUGUGUUCUAAAAUUGCAUCUACUCGGGCUCUUCUAGAUUUAUGCCAACUCUACUGCUAAAACUUGAAUGUUUCUCUUCUUUGCAUCCUUAAUCUGGUGGCUUACAACUAUGUCAUGUUAACAUAGACCGAAACCUCUUCAUGAUUACUAGCUGGUUACUCAUGACAGCAUACCUUUGACUUUCUGUAGUUACAAGCUGUCAUUACUGCUGAUGAAUCAGCACGACGGAGCAUGGUUGAUCCAGCAGUUAACAAGGCAUGUUUGGAUGAGUCACUGAAGACAAUGAUGGAAGUCUGUGUCAGGUGUCUGCUUAAGAACCCAGCAGAGAGACCUUCAGUUGAGGACGUGCUAUGGAAUUUGCAGUUUGCUGCUCAAGUUCAGGAUGCAUGGCAUUCUCAGAGCAGUGAAGGGUCUCCAAUCUCACCUCCAUGGCCAUCACACCAACACCUUUCCUUUCAUUAGUUGCAACAUUCAGGUCCUUACACUGCUAAAUAUAAACCUGUUAACAAAUCUUUUGAUAUAAAUACACAUCUUAUUUCCUACAAACUCUCCAGUAAAUGUUGAGUUUCUGGUCUUCGAUCUUCGCUUUACAUUGUGCCUACUGAUUUGAAACAAAAAAUUUGAAAUGCAGGACAUGCUGUACGUGGCUUGAUGACAAUUGUGCCUGAACAUUUUCUAUCACUCCUACCUCUUUCCUUCCAUGUAAUUUUUGCGACAAACAACUCUAAAGUUACAGUUGAAGAUGACAUUUUUCAGAGAGACCAAAAGCUAGCUGUCUCUUGUUAUGCUAAACAUCUUGUUUCCAGUUCUCCAUGGUUGGAUCCUAGCACAUAUCCUGGAUUAUAGAUCAAUGGUUGCAGGUCCCGUAUCCCAGUCAAAUCAUCUAUGCAUUUGUUUAAUAUUUUUCCACAAUGAUGAUCAAAGGGGAUAUGUUGUCUGCGUCCAUUACUCUUUCUUUACUAUUGUAAGGUGCAGCUAAAAGUAAUGAUGUACAAGCUUUUUCUAUGUUAUUGUAUACACAUAUCUAAGCCCAAUGUUUUGGCAGGAGAUGGUUGUUCACUUUCGAACGUUUUGCUUCUUUCUGGGAUCCGGGUUGAAUCUCAAAUUUUUACAAUUUACAACCUCAAAAUCGUUUAGCCGUAGGUGUGGCCUGUCAAAAUUCAAGUUUCAAGAUCAGUCUCUAUUUGAAUAACAUUCAGUAAAACCCUACAGGUUUAGUAAGAUAUCGUCAACCUAACGGAAUUCAGAGAUCCAUCUUCAGCCAUUAAUAUUCCAUCCAACUUACAAUGCAAUGAGCGUAUCAGAUAUUGCCAGAACAAGAAGUCUCCAUUCACUAAUUAGAUUAAGACAGGAUUUUAUCCCAAGUCUUAAUCGCAUCUGUUCAAUUUUUCUAUGCAAUCGCUUUCCUAGCUCAUGGCCCCCAUAAUUCGUGGUCCUCUAUGUCAGUUGUCAUCCUCUUGAUCACCUUUAUAUUUCAUUUUUCCUCUUCAAAUAAUAAUGUUUCGAGGUUUCAUGUCCAUGGAUGUCGACAUGCUCAAGCUCGAGGAAACUCCAAAAGGGAGGUAAAAGGAAAAUGAGGUUGUAAUGGAGAAAGGGAAUUUGGUGAAAAAAUAAUCACCAUAAAACACAAUGCAAAAUAAGAGUUACUAAAAGACGGCCAUUCACAACAUUCAAAAAUCCCACAAAAUAAUUCCAGUGAGUAAGAGCUCCUCUGUUUUCCUCUUUUGAGAGUUGAAGAUUGUCUUUAAGACAUCAUUGUACUCCUAUACAAAUGCUACAAAUAAAUUACAGUUAGAUGAAAAAUGUUUCAAAAGUAUAAUUUAAAAAAAAAAUUGAGAAAUUAGCAAGAGGUUCAACCAGAGCUGUCUACAAAUCAUCCAAAGAAAUCCUCUAACUCUGAUAACAAUGCACCUGAAAUCACAUUUAUGAAGGACACCACUAUUGGACAAAUCCAGGGAACAUCGUCACUUCAGAACCAGAGUGCUUUUAUUAGGCUUUUAGUCUGCUGUCCAGCUCUGCUCCACUAUUUCCCGCACUCUUCGGUUGUACUCUCUCUUAUUCUCACUGAACAGCCGAGCUGCUUCAGAGUUUGCAGGAGAGUUUGGAUUUGGAUCACAAAGCAGAGACUGAUAAAGACAUAAGUAGCAUCGGGUUAGCAUCAUCUUGUACAUCCACUGACAACCCCCCAAGCUCAUUUAUUUUAGGAUCAACCAUAACUCACAUGAAAUCUCAUGCAAAAACCAAAUUGUCAAGUGCAAACAUAGCAUAUUUGAAAGCUAUAUUAUUAACCAAUUAUUUUAAAGAACACAUUAUAACCAAACUAUAAAUGUUUGAAAUAUUGAUGAAGAAGCUGAUGCAAGAUUCCAUCAUGUUGUGAGUGAGUGAGUGAGUCAGGGGGGGGGAGGGGAAGAAAAGUCAGUCACAACCUGGUAACAAGGAUAAUUUCAGUUUGAAUAAGCAUGUAUUCUGAUUACCAGCUACCAUCAACAAAGAUCAAAAAGAUAAAAGAAAAUGCCAAAAUCAUAACAAAUACUCCACAAUGCCAUCAUUGUUAUGAGAAAGACAAAUUUGAAAACUUUUCAUUUGCAUUUUAAGUCAAAAGACAAAUUUGAAAACUUUCCAUUGCAUUUUAAGUCAAGUUAAAUAUGGUAAGUACAAUAUCAUGUCUUCUCCCACCAAAAACAAAAAAAAAAAAAAGACAAUAUCAUGUCUUCUCCCACCAAAAACAUAUGGUAAGUACAAUAUCAUGUCUUCUCCCACCAAAAACAAAAAAAAAAAAAAGAUUCCAGAUUAAGAGUGCCAACAGUAAUACUACCUGGGAUACUUGUCAUUGUACGAUUUUGACCCCAUGCACAUGAGUUUAGGAAUGAGCAUGAAAUUUUACAGGUUCGUCUAUGUACAGUAAAAAGUGCUCUAUAUCACAGUUUUAUGUUAGCUUUCGCGUGGAUUAAAAAUUAGAUAACUAGAAUUCCAGCCUUGUUUUGUCUAGUCCAUAGAAACACUUGAAAACAGCCGCAUGUUUGAUACUAAAUCUCAAAAAUCAGUUUGUUUACAGCAUUUUUCAGAUGAGACAACUGACUAUAGAUUCCUCAAAUUUCUUUAAUGGAAAAUACUUAAAAUCAUUCAUAUCAAUGCAUCAAACAGUAAUAUUUAUGUGUCGUAUUUCAGACCAUAAACUUAAACAUCAAAUAAUAAAGUGACCAGGUCAUAAAAUCACAGAUAAAAGAGAAGCAAGAUAUGUUGGGAAGAAAACAAAAGAGAAACACCGUGCAAUUAGUCUUUCUUAUGCACAUAAAAGAUACAAAGGAACACAGUAGGCAAACCAAAUAAUAUGAAGUCAUCAUUUGAUGAAACAGGGACUUUGGUCUAUGCAAACCAGCAGAUUUUCUAUUUCGAAGAUUGUCUUAAAACAUGGAAGAUUCACAUUUAUGUUCAGUUAAUAUAUGAAAACAUAUAUAAUGAUGCAAAAAAAAUGCCUUCACAGUGCAGGCUUGUUGACCUCAUAAGCACUUGGAAUUGCGUCAGGGUAAGACAAUCUGAAAAGCUUUUAGCCACUAAUAUCAUGGGUGUGAUUCAGUUGCCAAUUCAAACUAUCUCCACAUUUCAAUUAAGUAGAAGGACUUAUAAAAAGAAGAAAGGGGGAAACAGGAAACAUAACAAAAAUACGGAAAAGGGGGAAACAGGAAACAUUUAACAGGGGAAACCUUAAAAAAUGUGUUAGUCAUAUUGUCUAUUCUCUUUUCUUUUUCCCCCUUCAAAGCAAAAAAGCAAUUUUCUUUCAAUAACCAACAUUAAUUAUAAGAAAUUACGCAGGCAGAAAACAUCCAAUAUCAAUCAAUGAUUAACAAGAAAUAGAAUCCUUUUCCCACAAUCAAGAAAAAUGAAAGAAAAGUCAAACAAAUUUGCACCUGAAUAGAGGUCAGUAUAGCUGCAACAUCAUAUAUAGGACUCCACUGAUUUUGUAAAAUAUCCAAACAAAUACUUCCAUCUGCAUAGACUGAACAAACCAUAGGCACAAGUCAGAAAUCAGAGUCAAUCAUUACGAAGACCAUGUGCAAUAUAAUAACAAGCAACAUAUCAUUUAUCACCAAAAUUCAAAGAGAACAAUAACAAGAAAAAUAUAAUUAAUAAAUAAAUAGAAAAAUAAUUUACAAAUAACAUACUAUUUGGAUGAAACAUCCGUGAGACGAAACGAACUGUUGGGGGUUUAUUUGGAUAAUCCUCUGUGAAUUGUAGAGUCAACUUGAACGUACCUGAAGAAAUUCAAGAAAAUGCUUAGAUGACAAAUGCAAAAACCUAAAUAUUUCAACUGUAAAGACAAAGGAUAAGGCAUAAGCAAUCAUUUUUGUUAAGUAGGAGUAUUUAGGCCUCAAAUGCGACUGAAAGCAAGGAUAGCACGAUAUAGAAACAGAGGUAUAAUUAUUUACUAAAGCAGAUUGUCCACCAUCAUGCAGCAAUCGAUCUAAAGCCACUUCGGCAAUUAAAAUUCCAUCAAAAACACCAUUUACAUAAUUGGAACGUGAAAGCAUCGUUUACAAGAUAGCUCAUUCUGCUCAUAUUGACAGUCCUUCUGAUCAAAGAUGAUGACAAAAAAAAAAGAAAAAAAAAAGAAAAAAAAAAGAGGUGAUCGAAUUUUCUCAACAUCAAACCGGAAAAAAAAAAAAAAAAAACCACUAACACAAACAUGGACAAGGUAAUUAAAUUGUAACAAUAUAUACAAGUUAUGACCCACAACAGCAAAUACAACACAAGCCAAGAACCAUAGGAAUUCAACCAUGUUCUAUACACAGAAUCAGCUUAGUUACAGGCAAAAUAAAAAAGUCAGCUCAUCAAAGCUUUCGCUUAAUUAUACAUUAAAACUAAUGAACGAAACCUAACAAGCAAAAGCUGAGUGAAAAAUGAAAUCAAAAGCAUAAAAUUAUUUCUAUAAAGUAAAAAGACAAUAAAAUUCCCACCUCCGUCCCAGGGAGUAUCAUCGGGCCUGCAAAACACCACGAAAAAGGAAAAAAAAAUCAAAACAAAAACCAAAAGAAGUACAAAAAAGAAGAAAAGGAAGAAAAGAAAGUGUACCCAAAAAUAACGGCGUUCCACAACAUGAUGUUGUUGUCUUGAGGGGCACCGCUGAUGCCGGCGGGUGGAUCUUGCUGGAGGCGCUUGAAGUCCCGCAUCAGCCGCUUCUUCGCCGGUGUUGACAUGGCGACGUCGUGUUCUACAGAGAGAGAACGAGAGAGGAAAGUUCUAGAGAAAAGAGGGAUCUGAGCAAAAAUCUAAUCUAAAGAAGACUUUGUUGCUGCAUACGAGUUGCCAUGACAUAGCAAUAGGCCCAGGCAAUAGGCAUAACCUGUGCAACACCGCCAGCUAGUUUUGGUUUGUGAAUUGUGAUUGUGAUUUGUGAGUCCCACGCACACACUCUAGUCACAGCCGCCUUCUACUUUUUAUUUAUUACGCGUCGUGGGAUCUGAGCUGUUCAAACUUCAAAUUGUUUUAUGUCAUUUACCGCAAGGGCCACGUAAUUUUGUUAUGUAUUUCGAAAGAAAUUAACCGCCGCCACCACCACCAAAUUACUUUAUUUUUUAAGAAUCAUCCAUUUUACCAGUAAUUGUUUGUAAUGCUGAAAUAUCUUGCAUGGGAGUGGAGAGGAUAAAGUAUCUGAAACUCUUCAAUUUAAUUUAAUCCGAAUUGGGGUUCGCAUCCAGUUCGGAAACUUUUCUCACCCUUCACUGGCCCCAACGUUCAGAUUCUUAUGCUACUAAAUUUUAAUUCUAUAAUAUUAUCCCUCUCCUCUCGACGACCCAUAAAUAAAUACACACCUUAUUUUGAAAAUUUCUUUCCCAUAUUAACCCUCGAAUAAAUGCAGAAUUUUCUGGUCUUUCAUUUUGGCUUGACAUCAUCUAUAAUGGUCUGAUGGGGGCAGUUACAGUACAUGCAUGUAUCUCAUACAUGCAUGCAUAAAAAAUUAUCGUUAGAUUAAAUGGAGUAGAUCCAAUGGUUGAGAUUCAUCUUAGUGUUAAAUAAUAAAAAAAUUUACAAGAAAUGAAAACAUGUAAAACUGGCAACUUGAAACUUUGAACUAAUAAAUAUGAAACAACUACCAUUAAUAUUGAUAUUAUAACCAUUAAACUUGAAACCAAAAUAACUUGAAACUUUAGACAACGAAUAUGAAACUUGUGAUCAUAAACUUGCAAUCUCAAGAAUCAUACAAAUCAUGUACCAAUAAUAUAUGAAACAACUACGAUUAAUCUUGAUAUUAUGACCAUUAAACUUAAAAAUAAAGUAACUUGAAACAUAGGGUAAUGAACAUAAAACUUGAGAUCCUAAAAAUCAUACACAUCAUGAACCAAUAAAUAUAAAACAACUACCAUUAAUAUUGAUAUUAGGAUCAUUAAACUUGAAACUAAAGUAACUUGAAGCUGAGAGCAAUGAACAUGAAAUUUGGGAUCAUUAACUUACAACCCUGAAAAUCAUGCAAUUAAUAGACCAAUAAACAUGAAACACCUACCGUUAACUUGAUAUUGUGACCAUUAAACUUGAAACCACAAAGAAUUUGAAACUGAGGGCAAUACACAUGAAACUCAAGAUCAUAAACUUGCAACCCUGAAAAUCAUGUAAUUAAUGAGUCAAUAAACAUGAAACACUAUUAUUAACUUGAUAUUAGAACCAUUAAAUUUGAAACUAAAAAAACUUGAAACUGAGGGUAAUGAACAUUAAAUUAGGGAUCAUUAACUUGCAACACUGACAAUUAUACAAUUAAAUAGACCAAUAAAUAUGAAACAUCUAUUGUUAACUUGUUAUGGGAACCAUUAAACUUGAAAUCGAGGGUAAUAAAUAUAAAAUUUGAGAUCAUUAACAACCCUAAGAAUCAUAUAAUUAAUGAAUUAAUAAAUACAAAACACCUACCGUUAACAUGAUACCGAUAUUAUUAAACUUAAAACUAUUUUUUUAUUGUUAUCUGACCUAUAUUAGUAAAAUAAGUAUUAUUUUAUUUCAUAAUUUUUUAAUCGUUUAAGGAGCUCCAAGUUCUUUUUCUUUUUUUCCAACUGUUUGGCUGCCAAGUGGCAAUGUUUUUUAAUUUUUUUAUUCCUUGCAUGUAUGUAUGCAUGUAUUAAUUUAUUAUAGCACAGGCCUGAUUGCAAGCAAAAACACUUUAGGGUCCUACGCUCAUCCUGUUCGCUCAUAGCCUAGCAACAACCGAUUCGCGCCUCAAAACAUUUUCUAUCACUCUUCUCUUGCCCCGCCUACGUAAAUUUGGUGACAAUCAUCACCACAAGGUUAACAGUUGAAGAGGAGAGACAAAAAGCUAGCUGCCU
rnacentral:lncRNA from 1 species